rnacentral:lncRNA from 1 species
UUUUCAGAUUGUGCCUCGCGAUCUGCUCCGGUGUACCCUUGUCGAUGACUGCCCAGUUCCUCCUAAGUACACAGACAAGCCCACAUAAGGGCGUGUUUGGUUGCGUGCCUAUGGCCCGCGCGGGAAGAAAGAGGCCCGUUUGGUUGCUUGCGUUUACUGUGCGGCCUGCAUGGCACGAACCUUAAAGCACCUCUAGGCCAGGCCCAGGGAAAACGUCCGAAUCAACAGUAGCUCGCGAGCCUGGCUCGAGCGACGCAGGGGAGGGCGACGCGCUUCUCUCCUCAUGCAACCAGGGGGAUGGCGCAAGCUUGCCCGCGUCGUCGAAAAAUCGGCGGAAGGAUUUCGGCUCACCUCCCGCCGAGUCCGCCCCUAUUUAGCCUUCUCCCUCACCGCCCAAACUCCCGCCACCAUUCUCCCGCCACUAUUCUCCCCCAUGUCAAGCUUUCCCACCGACGCGCAUCGGCACCGACAAGCAGAUAAGCAGCGCAUAUUCAUUGGCCGGUGGUCCACGGCGUCGGCGGUCCUUCAUUGGCCGGCGGUGAUCUUCUACGACCGUUCCCCCCUCGUCCUCGGGCUACAGCCAUGGCCUCUGUGUCCCCCUUUCUCUCUGUUCCUUCUAGCUAGAUCUGAGCUACAGCUAGGGUUUGAUGUAGAUGCAUGGUUGAUUAGUGCUCUGAUCUAUGAGCUCAUAUGGUUGAUUGUUAUGUUGCGGUUGCAAUUUGUCGUAGGGUUAGAUGUUCAAGCAUGUGGUAGGCUAGAUGAGUAGUAGAGUUUGAAGUUGAACCUUGUGCUUGUGUUGAUUCGUGCUUAGAUCUGUGAUUUAUAGAUAUUGGUGGUCCAUUUGUAGCAUGUUGUUUGUUGUAGAUAUAUGUUCCUGCUCAUAGAUUAUCCAGUAUGCUUAGUAUGAUAGCGAUGAACCAUAUGCUUAGUAUGAUAGUGAUGAAGCAUGUGCUUGGUAUGAUAGUGAUGAACCAUGUACAUGUAUGCUCCUGCUUUCAUGGAUUGUCCGAUAUGGUGUGUGCUAUGCUUAUUGUCAAUGCAUGCUACGAUUGUAGGACAUGACCACGCAGAUGCAAGAUCUUAAUCAGGCCCUUGUCCUGUCCAACAGCCAGUUUGCUCCAUCGUGUCGAGGACUCGCAGCCUAUGUCCAAGAUGGCACCUAAUUCAGAGGUGUUCGCGUCUGAUUCUGUCUAUGUGUCAGUAGUGCUUGUUGAGCAAACUCCUGCUGCACUCAAGGUAGCAACAUCAAAGGAAAGGAUGGUAGGUUGAACAACAUGAAGUAGAAGUUGUUCAUGUCCAUGUUCGUGCUGAACAAGAUGUGUGAUCCUAUCUCUAGUGGAGUUAGGACUGGCAAGGGCUUCAAGGAGAUGCACUUGAACACUGUUGCGAAGCAGGUGUUCGAGUUCUGUGGGUAGGAGGUGUCCGCCACCCAGGUGUACAACCACCUGAGGAAGUGGGGAGGUCGAUGGAUCCAAGUGUCCAAGCUGAGAGACCUUAGCGACGCCUCAUGGGAUGAGAACACUUGCUCCAUAGUUCUGGAGGCAGAGCACAACGUCGGCCAUGUUGCGGUUAGCUCACAUCCAUCUUCCUUUUCAUAUUGUCCAUCAUUGCCUACUCCUAAUCGCAACUAACAACACUUGUGUUUCAUUCUUAGGACCACCCAAGGGACGCUGAGUUUCUCAACACACCCAUACAGAACUAUAGCCAGAUGCAGCACAUCUUCUCCUUCGGGCUGGCAACUGGGAAGCAUGCCAUGGGCUCGGGGGAGCCUCUUGGUUCUCCCAUGCCAGACUUUCCUGGGACCCCGAACGUCGAGGUCCUUGAUGUCCCUGACAAGCCCUUUGACCCUGUCCAUGAUAGGAAGAAGAAUAAAGGAGGCCUGGUGGAGGAGGAGAUCAAUGUCUUUUGCAGCAUGACUGGGGCGAUGGAGGAGGUGGCAACAGCCAUCAGGGAGUGCAAACCCCUCGACAUCCACCCUGACAUGUAUGGCGCUGUCAUGACCCAGGGUGGCUUCAGCGACGAGGCUCUCAUGGUAGCUCUCAGCCACCUGCUUGACAACAAGGCCCAGGGUGUUGGGUUCGUUGCCAUGGCAGACGAUCACAGGGUGUUGUCUCAGGAGCUGGCUGGGCAAGCACUACUACUAGAGUAGUGUUGCCUGUGAGCGUGCAUGAUCCCCGAUGGUGAUGGCGAUGGCGGUGGCGACAACGACGGCGAUGACGGUGGCGACGUACAUUUUGUGUAUCUAGGGCUGGAAAACUAUUUGAUGGUUUGUAUAUUUUGGUGAGGUCGUAUAUACUAACCCCUCACGUUGAUGGUGAACUUACGGUGGUAGGACGACACCCUCUUUUGGAUGUGGUGGUACGAUAACACCAUGGUAGUGCUAGGUAAAACUUGUUAUGCCGUAUGAUCAUGUAUACUUUACUUCUUCUUUUCUGCUCCAUUGUUGUUUGUGUGCUACUUGUGUGCUUCAUUGACUUGCUGCUUCAACUCUUACUCUUGUGCAUUGCUAGGGCAAGUGGUAUACCGUGUUCAUCGGUAAGGCUCCAGGGGUUUACAGUUCAUGGGAAGAAGCCAGUGCACAAGUGGCAUCAUAUAGCAACAGCAGUCAUAGAGGGUUCAAGACUAGACAGGCAGCAAAACAAGUUUACUCCAACUGGGUGCGAAAGCACGGAGGCAGCUAUGUGGCAAGGUUGGAGGUGUCAAAGUGGAAGGUGCUAAGGUGGAUCGUCAGUUUGGGCUGAAUCUGAAGAACUUCAUUAUCUUCGCCCACUUCAUCGCCAUUGUUGUGGUGUGGUGUUGGUAUGAUAGGUGUGAUCAUUGUGGGUAAGCUCACCAACUAAGGUACAAGGUAAGCACAUCAUGUACGUCGUAUGCAACCAAACACCGUGUUCAUAUGCCGCUUGGAGCCAAUACAGGCAACCAAACAAAGUGCACUUGCAUACUACCUAAUGCAGGGACCCUAAAUACAGGCAACCAAACAACUUGCAGAUGACGCAUUUGAGGCUGAUUUUGCUCAACCAGAUUAGGUUGAGAUGUAUAUACAAUGCAGCUACUGUUUACUACUACAACCAAACACGCCCUAACUAUCUCAUUACAACAAUGCUAAAAAGUUGAGCGAGAGAGGGACAAUAAAUACCUUCCAGUGGGGGUGCGGGUGUGCGUCGGAGGGCUCAAGAUGGUCGGCGACGAAGGUUGGACGACAUGAAGGCCAUCAUACAAUGGGAGAGAGAAAUGGGGCCAGGGAGGAGGUGGGGUGUCCGCGCUGCUAUUGCUAGGAGCUAUGGUGUGCCUCGAGGCAUGAAGGGGCCAGUGUGUAUGUACGUGUUGGUUGGACAGGCACAGAUAGUGGUGCUCGGUCUAGGCUAGCUGAAAAACGGCAAUGUGGAUGGCAGAAGAAGGAUGCCUGAGGUUACUAGGUGUCGCUUUGUCUCGGCUAGCUGGAUGACGUGUCAGACGGCAGGUUAUAUUUCUUUCUUUCUUGAUGCUUGAAUAUGGAUGUGCAUCCUCUGUUUCAUACAUGCUCUCUUGCAUUCAGUGUGGUGCCCUGUGACCACAUACAUGCAUGGUGGUGUACUCACGUCCCAAUCAAUGGAAUCACACACAUCUGGAAUGCACCGUUUUGCUGAGUACCUCUCAUCGGGCACUCAAAAAAGUUGUCCACGUGGUGAAAAGAAAACGAAAUUGCUAAUUUUCAUGCGGAUAAAAAUAAUUGGCUUUCAUCCGUUUUUUGCGCCGUGCGAUUCUGUCACAAGAUCCGUGCUUUUAUUCCAUCCUUUUUGUCAUUGAGUUUCUUAUCGGGCCCGCUUCAAUUUUCCACCUGACCCGUUAGGCCGCUAUUCCACGUUGGUCUCUCUCUGUUGCUUCCCCUCCUCGUUUCCUCUGUCAUUUCGAACACGCAGACCGAAACAGAGGCGAGUGAGAGAUAGCCAUGGCGAUUUUGAGCUCCCCCUCGCCACUCGAUCCAGUUGGUUGGUGGUGACUCGUCGGCGCUCUCCCUCCUGCUGCAUUGCUCUCUCCUCCUCCCGCCGGAGAUCUGCUGCAUCUGCCGGCCCCCGCAGGCCCACACCCACCCCGGCCGCCUUAUUUCGCCGCCCGUCAAUCCUGUUCGUCUGAUUCGGUAUUUUCUCUCGCUUUUUGUUUUGUUCCUCAGUUCUGUAUGUUUGUGCGUAGGGUUUUCUUCGUCAGAUAUGUUGCUUGUGUUAAUCUCCCGCAGCCUCUGGUGUAGAUGUGUGAGGUUUGCGCCGUUUCUGUGAUUGAAACUUGUCUGCCAUGCGAAUUCAGUCCCUUGGUCAGAUCUGUUGCUUGUGUUUAGGGUUUUUUGGUUGCUUGUUUGUUUGAUUGAUCUGUAUCUGGUUAUUGAAUUUCGGCUGGUUGUUUGAAUAGGUUGGCUCGUUUAGUUCUUGGUAUGUGGUAAUUGGUAUUGAGCAAUUCGAACAUACUGGAUCGUGUUCAAUCCCCUGCUCUUCAGUGUUGUUAGUUAGUGGAUCCAUGUGUUAUUUUCCCCUGGGCCGUUUUGUUGUCCCUGAGUGGAUGUAGGGUUGGUUCCCUGGUCGAAUUGUUGGAAUUUUGCUAGUAGGUCUUUGAUCCAAAGCCCAACUAAAAUUCUGAAAUUCUUUUGGCUCAUUCAUGCACACAUGUGAGUGAAGUGAGUGAGACUAAAGUUUAGUCCCACCCCGGAAGUUGAGAGAGAGUUGCACCUCUUUAUAAGGUGAGCUCUUCUACCACUUGUAUGAGCAUGAGAAGAGGAGACCUACACGCCACGCCACGCCUCGCCUCGCCUCGUCACGACGCGCCGCGGGUUGCGGGAUUGAGCCGAGGACAGAGCUAUGCACGUUGUCUAUAUUUUUGCUGCAUGGGAAAAUUAAUGAGUCAUUAAUUAAUAAUUAAUGGACGCGUUAAUUACUGAACCGUUUCGGACGUGGGGUUUACUCCCACGACCUACCCGGCCCGCACUAUAUAGUCAGGCAGACGUUUACCUUAGCCGCCGCCGCUUCGUAUGGUUUCUCACCACCGUUCCAGAUCAUUGCGCCGCCAAGCAAGUCUUCUCCAUCCCUCCUUCCGGCGUGCACCGCGAGAAGGGACAGCAGGCCCUCCGGAACCCCACCUCUCGUGAUCCUGUACGGGAGAGGGGCGAUCAGGUUUUUAGAGAGCGCACUCGCGCGCCUGCUGGCAGCGAUGACUUCGCGAACGACGACUUCUUCCCCGACCUCGGCAACCUCGUCCUUGACGACAUGGGCGACAACGUCAAUGCCGGCGGUGGUGCACCCGCUGCACCGUAUGUGAUUCUAUCCUUCCUGUUCGAGAUCAUGAUAGAAUUCAUGCUUCUAGUAUGUGCCCUAGAUGUGAUAUGUUCAUCUGCUAUGCUAGUUCGCAUGAUUAGUUUAAUCUCUGCUGUUGUGGUCAUGAUUUAUCUUCUGUUUAUUCGGAUUAAAUCUCGUAGUAAUUUGCUCAUAUUUCCAACAAUCCAAAAACCUGAUUAUAGGCAAUUUACUCCGAGUGGUUUUGCUGCGCAUCUGAAGCCGCCUGCCUUUAAGGGGGCGCAAUAUAAGAGGUGGCGCACGAGAGCAGUCUACUGGUUUCAGACCAUGGGCUGCUAUGAUGCCACCAAGGGCAAGCCUGAGGGCGAUCUUAAUCCAGCACAGCUGGAAGCUUUUGAGAAGAUCGAUACCCUCUUUAAAGGCGCUCUUCUGAGUGUUCUUGAUGACUCCAUUGUGGAUUCGUAUAUGUCGUUUAACAACGGCAAGGACAUGUGGGCUGCGCUCGAGGCCAAGUUUGGUGCCUCGGACGCCGGCAGCGAGUUGUACGUCAUGGAGCAAUUCUAUGAUUACAAGAUGACUGAUGAGCGCCCUGUUGUACAGCAGGCUCAUGAGAUACAGUCGCUCGCAAAAGAACUUGAGUACUUCAAGUGUGUGUUGCCGGACAAAUUUGCUGCCGGAGGCAUUAUUGCCAAGCUUCCACCUUCGUGGAACAAUUUUGCUACUUCCCUGAAACACAAGAGACAGGAGUUUUCCGUUGCGGAUCUCAUUGGUACUCUUGAUGUUGAAGAAAAGGCGAGAGCAAAGGACACACGUGCUCGAGUUGCUGAGGGAGGUUCUAGUGCCCACAUGGUACAGAAGAAGAACUCCCAGCCCAACAAGUUCAAAAACAAUAAGAACAAAACUCAGGGCAAAGGCAAGUUUGAUACAAAGAACAAGCCAUCACAUUCUACCAACUUCAAGAAGAAUUCUCAUAAGAAGGGGAAGGGACUUUGCCAUGUCUGCGGUGAUCCUAAUCACUGGGCUUCGAAGUGUCCUAACCGCUUUGAGGAGCGUGAACAUGAGAAGAGCGGCAAGUCCGCUAAUGUUGUCAUCGGUGAUACUGAUAUGAAGGAAUCAGGGUACGGUAUUUUUCCUACCAUCCUUUCAGUAUUUCAAUCCCCUGAUUGGUUAAUUGACACCGGUGCCAAUGUACAUGUUUGUGCUGACGCCUCCAUGUUUUCUUCUUACCAGGCAAUAGGGACUUCACCCGUGCUGAUGGGGAACGGGUCACAUGCCAUCGUUCGAUGUGUUGGUACGGUCGAUCUGAAGUUUACUUCGGGGAAGACUGUGCGUCUGAAGAAUGUUCAUCAUGUGUCGUCCAUCAAUAAAAAUCUCGUUAGCGGUUCCCGUUUAUGUCGAGAUGGUUUUAAGUUGGCUUUCGAAUCCAAUAAAGUUAUAAUUUCUAAGUGUGGACAAUUUGUUGGAAAAGGCUAUGAGUGCGGAGGCUUGUUCCGCCUAUCUUUGUCAGAUAUUUGCAUUAAAGUUAUUAAUAAUGUUUGCCACAAUAAUGAGUCUGAUAUUUGGCAUUCACGACUCUGUCAUAUUAACUUUGGUUGCAUGACGCGGUUAGCCAAUAUGAAUUUAAUUCCGAAAAUCUCUACUGUCAAAGGCUCCAAGUGCCAAGUAUGUGUGCAAGCUAAGCAACCUCGCAAGUCCCAUAAGACAGCAGAGGCAACAGACUUGGCGCCACUAGAGCUUAUACAUUCUGAUCUUUGUGAGAUGAAUGGCGUGUUGACAAAAGAUGGAAAGAGAUACUUCAUGACGUUGAUUGAUGACUCCACUAGAUAUUGUUAUGUGUAUCUUCUGAAAUCAAAAGAUGAGGCUUUGACUUUCUUUAAAAACUAUAAAGCUGAGGCAGAGAACCAACUUGAUCGAAAAAUUAAACGGCUUAGGUCCGAUCGUGGUGGAGAGUAUUUUUCCAAUGAAUUUGAUCUUUUUGUGCGGAACAUGGUAUAAUCCAUGAGAGGACGCCUCCCUACUCACCCCAGUCAAAUGGGGUAGCCAAAAGAAAGAACCGAACUCUAACUGAUAUGGUUAACACCAUGUUAGACACUUCGGGUCUAUCCAAGAAAUGGUGGGGGGGCGCUAAUGACUGUGUGUCAUGUCCUAAACCGAGUUCCCACAAAGCAUAAGACCAUGACUCCAUUUGAGGAAUGGGAAAGGAAAAGGUUGAAACUCUCUUACCUACGUACUUGGGGUUGUUUGGUGAAAGUCAAUAUACCAAUUCUCAAGAAGCGCAAGCUUGGACCAAAAACCGUGGAUUAUGUUCUUCUGGGCUAUGCUUUUCAUAGCAUCGGCUAUAGAUUUUUGAUAAUAAAAUCUGAGGUAUCCGACAUGCAUGUUGGUACGAUUAUGGAAUCAAAUGAUGCAACUUUCUUUGAGGACAUAUUUCCUAUGAAGGAUAUGUCGAGUUCAUCAAAUCAGGAGAUACCUACUCCAUCUAGUGAGGAAUUCACUGUAAUUCCUGAACCCACCAUUGUGAUGGAACACGUUGAGAAUCCUGUUGAGGGUAACAAUGGAACUCCUAUGAGGAGUAAGAGACAGAGGACUGCAAAGUCUUUUGGUGAUGAUUUCAUUGUGUACCUCGUGGAUGACACACCCAGGACUAUUUCAGAAGCCUAUGCAUCUCCUGAUGCUGACUACUGGAAGGAAGUUGUACCUAGCGAGAUGGAUUCCAUCUUAGCUAACGUUACCUGGGAGAUCACUGACCGUCCUUAUGGAUGCAAACCUGUAGGAUGUAAGUGGGUGUUCAAGAAGAAGCUUAGACUUGAUGGUACGAUUGAAAAGUACAGGGCACGACUUGUGGCCAAGGGUUAUACCCAGAAAGAAGGUGAAGACUUCUUUGAUACUUACUCACCCGUGGCUAGACUGACCACAAUUCGGGUGCUACUAUCAUUAGCUGCCUCACAUGGUCUUCUCGUUCAUCAAAUGGACGUUAAGACGGCUUUCCUCAAUGGAGAGUUGAAGGAGGAAAUUUACAUGCAUCAGCCAGAUGGUUUUGUAGUACCUGGUCAAGAAGGAAAGGUGUGCAAAUUAUUAAAGUCUUUAUAUGGCCUUAAACAAGCUCCUAAGGAGUGGCAUGAGAAGUUCGAAAGAACAUUAACUGCUGCCGGCUUUGUAGUAAACAAUGGUGACAAGUGUGUGUACUAUCGCUAUGGUGGGGGAGAAGGAGUUAUUCUUUGUCUGUAUGUCGACGACAUAUUGAUCUUUGGAACCAAACUUGAUUUAAUCAAGGAGGUUAAGGAUUUCUUAUCUUGCUAUUUUGAGAUGAAGGAUCAAGGAGUAGUUGAUGUUAUCUUAAACAUCAAGCUGUUGAGAGAUGAGAAUGGUGGGAUCACACUGUUUCAGUCUCAUUAUGUGGAAAAGGACUUGAGUCGUUUUGGGUAUAGCGACUGCACGCCUUCUCCAACUCCAUAUGAUGCUAGUGUGUUGCUUCGAAAGAAUCGACGGAUUGCUAGAGAUCAACUGAGGUAUUCUCAUAUUAUUGGCUCGCUUAUGUAUUUGGCGAGUGCCACGAGGCCUGACAUCUCUUUUGCUGUGAGCAAGCUGAGUCGGUUUGUGUCAAAACCGGGAGAUGAUCAUUGGCAUGCGCUUGAGAGAGUUAUGCGCUAUUUGAAAGGCACCACGAGCUAUGGGAUUCACUACACCGGGUAUCCAAGGGUACUGGAGGGUUAUAGUGACUCAAACUGGAUAUCUGAUGCUGAUGAGAUUAAGGCCACAAGUGGUUAUGUUUUUACACUUGGUGGUGGCGCUGUUUCCUGGAAGUCUUGCAAGCAGACCAUCUUAACAAGGUCAACUAUGGAAGCAGAACUCAUAGCAUUAGACACUGCCACUGUUGAAGCAGAGUGGCUUCGUGAACUCUUGAUGGACUUACGUAUGGUUGAAAAACCAAUACCCCCUAUCCUGAUGAACUGUGAUAAUCAAACUGUGAUCGUCAAGAUAAACAGUUCUAAGGACAAUAUGAAGUCCUCAAGGCAUGUGAAGAGGAGACUAAAAUCUGUCAGAAAAUUGAGGAACUCCGGAGUUAUUACGUUGGAUUAUAUCCAAACGUCGAAAAACUUGGCAGAUCCCUUCACAAAGGGUCUAUCACGUAAUGUGAUAGAUAAUGCAUCGAUGGAGAUGGGUUUGAGACCCACCGCAUGAGUUGCCCAUAGUGGUAAACCACUCUAUGUGAUCGGAGAUCCCGUGAAGUAGAAGUGGGAGACAAGCUGUUGGUCAGCUGGGAGGAGAGUAUCCCUAUAUUAAUUAUCCCACUCCGUGAAGAUGCAAUACUCUCCUGAUCUGCAUGGCAGGUUGAUACUUAUCUUAAUGUGUUCCAAGUGGCUUAUUCGGGUAAGCAGAGAUGUUGUCCUGCAGAACAUCUUCUGAGGAACACACCUAUAUGAAUUUGAUUGUUAACGUCGCAGUCUGUGAGAAUUGGGUGUUCUCUAUUAAAUUCAUGAAAGGCCCUGGAGUAUGACGUAUACGCUCCACCCGCGGGGAAGCCUUGCGGCAGCCCAGAUCGGUCAAGAAUUUGUGUGAAACUAGUUUCACAGAAAACUUGUAGUUCAAGGCAUAGUCCACUAUUCAAGUUAUGAUCUAGUGUAGCAUAAAUUUCUCAGUGGAAGUUCAACUUCACAGUCUCCACUAAGCACCGAUAUAUAAAACAAUGUUUUGGAACUAAAUGAUGAGAUGUGCCAAUGAGACUUUGUGGGGGAUUGUUAGAAUUUUGCUAGUAAGCCUUUGGCCCAAAGCCCAACUAAAAUUCUGAAAUUCUCUUGGCCCAUUCAUGCACACGUGUGAGUGGAGUGAGUGAGGCUAAAGUUUAGUCCCACCCCGGAAGUUGAGAGAGAGUUGCACCUCUUUAUAAGGUGAGCUCUUCUACCACUUGUAUGAGCAUGAGAAGAGGAGACCUACACGCGCGCUCCUCCUCCUCGCUCGCCUCGCCACGCCACGCCUCGUCAGGACGCGACGCGCCGCGGGUUGCGGGAUUGAGCUGAGCCGAGGACAGAGCUAUGCACGUUGUCUAUUUUUGCUGCAUGGGAAAACUAAUUAGUCAUUAAUUAAUAAUUAACGGACGCGUUAAUUACUGAACCGUUUCUGAUUCUUUUGGAUCAUGACGACUCGGACGUGGGGUUUACUCCCACGACCUACCCGGCCCCCACUAUAUAGUCAGGCAGACGUCUACCUUAGCCGCCGCCGCUUCGUAUGAUUUCUCACCACCGUUCUAGAUCAUUGCGCCGCCAAGCAAGUCUUCUCCAUCCCUCCUUCCGGCGUGCACCGCGAGAAGGGACAGCAGGCCUCCGGAACCCCGCCUCUCGUGAUCCUAUACGGGAGAGGGGCGAUUAGGUUUUUGGGGAGAGCACUCGCGCGACUGCUGGCAGCGACGACUUCGCGAACGACGAAUUCUUCCCCGACCUUGGCAACCUUGUCCUCGACGACAUGGGCGACAACGUCAACGCCGGCGGUGCUGCACCCGCUGCACCGUAUGUGAUUCUAUCCUUCCUGUUCGAGAUCAUGGUAGAAUUCAUGCUUCUAGUAUGUGCCCUAGAUAUGAUAUGUUCAUCUGCUAUGCUAGUUCACAUGAUUAGUUUAAUCUCUACUGCUGUGGUCAUGAUUUAUCUUCUGUUUAUUCGGAUUAAAUCUCGUAGUAAUUUGCUCAUAUUUCCAACAAUCCUAAAACCUGAUUAUAGGCAAUUUACUUCGAGUGGUUUUGUUGUGCAUCUGAAGCUGCCUGCCUUUAAGGGGCGCAAUAUAAGAGGUGGCGCACGAGAGCAGUCUACCAGUUUUAGACCAUGGGCUGCUAUGAUGCCACCAAGGGAAAGCCUGAGGGCGAUCUUAAUCCAGCACAGCUGGAAGCUUUUGAGAAGAUCGAUACCCUCUUUAAAGGCGCUCUUCUGAGUGUUCUUGAUGACUCCAUUGUGGAUUCGUAUAUGUCGUUUGACAACCGCAAGGACAUGUGGGCUGCGCUCCAGGCCAAGUUUGGUGCCUCGAACGCCGGCAGCGAGUUGUACGUCAUAGAGCAAUUCUAUGACUACAAGAUGAUUGAUGAGCGCCCUGUUGUACAGCAGGCUCAUGAGAUACAGUCGCUCGCAAAAGAACUUGAGUACUUCAAGUGUGUGUUGCCGGACAAAUUUGUUGCCGGAGGCAUCAUUGCCAAGCUUCCACCUUCGUGGAACAAUUUUGCUACUUCCCUGAAACACAAGAGACAGGAGUUUUCCGUUGCGGAUCUCAUUGGUACUCUUGAUGUUGAAGAGAAGGCGAGAGCAAAGGACACACGUGCUCGAGUUGCUGAGGGAGGUUCUAGUGCCCACAUGGUACAGAAGAAGAACUCCCAGCCCAACAAGUUCAAAAACAAUAAGAACAAAACUCAGGGCAAAGGCAAGUUUGAUACAAAGAACAAGCCAUCACAUUCUACCAACUUCAAGAAGAAUUCUCAUAAGAAGGGGAAGGGACUUUGCCAUGUCUGCGGUGAUCCUAAUCACUGGGCUUCGAAGUGUCCUAACCGUUUUGAGGAGCGCGAACAUGAGAAGAGCGACAAGUCCGCUAAUGUUGUCAUCGGUGAUACUGAUAUGAAGGAACCAGGGUACGGUAUUUUUCCUACCAUCCUUUCAGUAUUUCAAUCCCCUGAUUGGUUAAUUGACACCAGUGCCAAUGUACAUGUUUGUGCUGACGCCUCCAUGUUUUCUUCUUACCAGGCAACAGGGACUUCACCCGUGCUGAUGGGGAACGGGUCACAUGCCAUCGUUCGAGGUGUUGGUACGGUCGAUCUGAAGUUUACUUCGGGGAAGACUGUGCGUCUGAAGAACGUUCAUCAUGUGCCGUCCAUUAAUAAAAAUCUCGUUAGCGGUUCCCGUUUAUGUCGAGAUGGUUUUAAGUUGGUUUUCGAAUCCAAUAAAGUUGUAAUUUUUAAGUGUGGACAAUUUUUUGGAAAAGGCUAUGAGUGCGGAGGCUUGUUCCGCCUAUCUUUGUCAGAUAUUUGCAUUAAACUUAUUAAUAAUGUUUGCCACAAUAAUGAGUCUGAUAUUUGGCAUUCACGACUCUGUCAUAUUAACUUUGGUUGCAUGACGCGGUUAGCCAAUAUGAAUUUAACUCCGAAAAUCUCUACUGUCAAAGGCUCCAAGUGCCAAGUAUGUGUGCAAGCUAAGCAACCUCGCAAGUCCCAUAAGACAGCAGAGGCAAGAGACUUGGUGCCACUAGAGCUUAUACAUUCUGAUCUUUGUGAGAUGAAUGGCGUGUUGACAAAAGGUGGAAAGAGAUACUUCAUGACGUUGAUUGAUGACUCCACUAGAUAUUGUUAUGUGUAUCUUCUGAAAUCAAAAGAUGAGGCUCUGACUUUCUUUAAAAACUAUAAAGCUGAGGCAGAGAACCAACUUGAUCGAAAAAUUAAACGGCUUAGGUCCGGUCGUGGUGGAGAGUAUUUUUCCAAUGAAUUUGAUUUGUUUUGUGCGGAACAUGGUAUAAUCCAUGAGAGGAUGCCUCCCUACUCACCCAAGUCAAAUGGGGUAGCCGAAAGAAAGAACCGAACUCUAACUGAUAUGGUUAACACCAUGUUAGACACUUCGGGUCUAUCCAAGGAAUGGUGGGGGGGGGCUAAUGACUGUGUGUCAUGUCCUAAACCGAGUUCCCACAAAGCAUAAGACCAUGACUCCAUUUGAGGAAUGGGAAAGGAAAAGGUUGAAACUCUCUUACCUACGUACUUGGGGUUGUUUGGCGAAAGUCAAUAUACCAAUUCCCAAGAAGCGCAAGCUUGGACCAAAAACCGUGGAUUGUGUUCUUCUGGGCUAUGCUUUUCAUAGCAUCGGCUAUAGAUUUUUGAUAAUAAAAUCUGAGGUAUCCGACAUGCAUGUUGGUACGAUUAUGGAAUCAAAUGAUGCAACUUUCUUUGAGGACAUAUUUCCUAUGAAGGAUAUGUCGAGUUCAUCAAAUCAGGAAAUACCUACUCCAUCUAGUGAGGAAUUCACUGUAAUUCCUGAACCCGCCAUUGCGAUGGAACACGUUGAGAAUCCUGUUGAGGGUAACAAUGGAACUCCUAUGAGGAGUAAGAGACAGAGGACUGCAAAGUCUUUUGGUGAUGAUUUCAUUGUGUACCUCGUGGAUGACACACCCAGGACUAUUUCAGAAGCCUAUGCAUCUCCUGAUGCUGACUACUGGAAGGAAGUUGUACGUAGCGAGAUGGAUUCCAUCUUAGCUAACGGUUCCUGGGAGAUCACUGACCGUCCUUAUGGGUGCAAACCUGUAGGAUGUAAGUGCGUGUUCAAGAAGAAGCUUAGACCUGAUGGUACGAUUGAAAAGUACAAGGCACGACUUGUGGCCAAGGGUUAUACCCAGAAAGAAGGUGAAGACUUCUUUGAUACUUACUCACCCAUGGCUAGACUGACCACAAUUCGGGUGCUACUAUCAUUGGCUGCCUCACAUGGUCUUCUCGUUCAUCAAAUGGACGUUAAGACGGCUUUCCUCAAUGGAGAGUUGAAGGAGGAAAUUUACAUGGAUCAGCCAGAUGGUUUUGUAGUACCUGGUCAAGAAGGAAAGGUGUGCAAGUUAUUAAAGUCUUUAUAUGGCCUUAAACAAGCUCCUAAGGAGUGGCAUGAGAAGUUCGAAAGAACAUUAACUGCUGACGGCUUUGUAGUAAACGAUGGUGACAAGUGCGUGUACUAUCGCUAUGGUGGGGGCGAAGGAGUUAUUCUUUGUCUGUAUGUUGACGACAUAUUGAUCUUUGGAACCAAACUUGAUUUAAUCAAGGAGGUUAAGGAUUUCUUAUCUCGCUGUUUUGAGAUGAAGGAUCUAGGAGUAGUUGAUGUUAUCUUAAACAUCAAGCUGUUGAGAGAUGAGAAUGGUGGGAUCACACUGCUUCAGUCUCAUUAUGUGAAAAAGGUCUUGAGUCGUUUUGGGUAUAGCGACUGCACGCCUUCUCCAACUCCAUAUGAUUCCAGUGUGUUGCUUCGAAAGAAUCGACGGAUUGCUAGAGAUCAACUGAGGUAUUCUCAUAUUAUUGGCUCGCUUAUGUAUUUGGCGAGUGCCACGAGGCCUGACAUCUCUUUUGCUGUGAGCAAGCUGAGUCGGUUUGUGUCAAAACCGGGAGAUGAUCAUUGGCAUGCACUUGAGAGAGUUAUGUGCUAUUUGAAAGGCACCGCGAGCUAUGGGAUUCACUACACCGGGUAUCCAAGGGUACUGGAGGGUUAUAGUGACUCAAACUGGAUAUCUGAUGCUGAUGAGAUUAAGGCCACAAGUGGUUAUGUUUUUACACUUGGUGGUGGUGCUGUUUCCUGGAAGUCUUGCAAGCAGACCAUCUUAAUGAGGUCAACUAUGGAAGCAGAACUCACAGCAUUAGACACUGCCAUUGUUGAAGCAGAGUGGCUUCGUGAACUCUUGAUGGACUUACCUAUGGUUGAAAAACCAAUACCCCCUAUCCUGAUGAACUGUGAUAAUCAAACUGUGAUCGUCAAGAUAAACAGUUCUAAGAACAGUAUGAAGUCCUCAAGGCAUGUGAAGAGGAGACUAAAAUCUGUCAGAAAAUUGAGGAACUCCGGAGUUAUUACGUUGGAUUAUAUCCAAACGUCGAAAAACUUGGCAGAUCCCUUCACAAAGGGUCUAUCACGUAAUGUGAUAGAUAAUGCAUCGAUGGAGAUGGGUUUGAGACCCACCGCAUGAGUUGUCCAUAGUGGUAAACCACUCUAUGUGAUCGGAGAUCCCCUGAAGUAGAAGUGGGAGACAAGCUGUUGGUCAGCUGGGAGGAGAGUAUCCCUAUAUUAUUUAUCCCACUCCGUGAAGAUGCAAUACUCUCCUGAUCUGCAUGGCAGGUUGAUACUUAUCUUAAUGUGUUCCAAGUGGCUUAUUCGGGUAAGCAGAGAUGUUUUCCUGCAGAACAUCUUCUGAGGAACACACCUAUAUGAAUUUGACUGUUAACGUCGCAGUCUGUGAGAAUUGGGUGUUCUCUAAUAAAUUCAUGAAAGGCCCUGGAGUAUGACGUAUACGCUCCACCCGCGGGGAAGCCUUGCGGCAGCCCAGUAUCGGUCAAGAAUUUGUGUGAAACUAGUUUUACAGAAAACUUGUAGUUCAAGGCAUAGUCCACUAUUCAAGUUGUGAUCUAGUGUAGCAUAAAUUUCUAAGUGGAAGUUCAACUUCACAGUCUCCACUAAGCACCGAUAUAUAAAACAAUGUUUUGGAACUAAAUGAUGAGAUGUGCCAAUGAGACUUUGUGGGGGAUUGUUGGAAUUUUGCUAGUAGGCCUUUGGCCCAAAGCCCAACUAAAAUUCUGAAAUUCUCUUGGCCCAUUCAUGACCACGUGUGAGUGGAGUGAGUGAGGCUAAAGUUUAGUCCCACCCCGGAAGUUGAGAGAGAGUUGCACCUCUUUAUAAGGUGAGCUCUUCUACCACUUGUAUGGGCAUGAGAAGAGGAGACCUACACGCGCGCUCCUCCUCCUCGCUCGCCUCGCCACGCCACGCCUCGUCACGACGCGCCGCGGGUUGCGGGAUUGAGCCGAGCCGAGGACAGAGCUUUGCACGUUGUCUAUGUUUUUGCUGCAUGGGAAAAUUAAUGAGUCAUUAAUUAAUAAUUAACGGACGCAUUAAUUACUGAACCGUUUCCGAUUCUUUUGGAUCGUGACGACUCGGACGUGGGGUUUACUCCCACGACCUACCCGGCCCGCACUAUAUAGUCAGGCAGACGUCUACCUUAGCCGCCGCCGCUUCGUAUGGUUUCUCACCACCGUUCCAGAUCAUUGCGCCGCCAAGCAAGUCUUCUCCAUCCCUCCUUCUGGCGUGCACCGCGAGAAGGGACAGCAGGCCUCCGGAACCCCGCCUCUCUUGAUCCUGUACGGGAGAGGGACGAUCAGCUUUUUGGGGAGCGCACUCAUGCGACUGCUCGCAGCGACAACUUCGUGAGCAACGACUUCUUCCCCGACCUUGGCAACCUCGUCCUCGACGACAUGGGCGACAACGUCAACACCGGCGGUGCUGCACCCGCUGCACCGUAUGUGAUUCUAUCCUUCCUGUUCGAGAUCAUGGUAGAUUCAUGCUUCUAGUAUGUGCCCUAGAUGUGAUAUGUUCAUCUGCUAUGCUAGUUCGCAUGAUUAGUUUAAUCUCUGCUACUGUGGUCAUGAUUUAUCUUCUGUUUAUUCGGAUUAAAUCUCGUAGUAACUUGCUCAUAUUUCCAACAAUCCAAAAACCUGAUUAUAGGCAAUUUACUCCAAGUGCUUUUGCUGCGCAUCUGAAGCCGCCUGCCUUUAAGGGGGCGCAAUAUAAGAGGUGGCGCACGAGAGCAGUCUACCGGUUUCAGACCAUGGGCUGCUAUGAUGCCACCAAGGGAAAGCCUGAGGGCGAUCUUAAUCCAGCACAGCUGGAAGCUUUUGAGAAGAUCGAUACCCUCUUUAAAGGCGCUCUUCUGAGUGUUCUUGAUGACCCCAUUGUGGAUUCGUAUAUGUCGUUUGACAACGGCAAGGACAUGUGGGCUGCGCUCGAGGCCAAGUUUGGUGCCUCGGACGCCAGCAGCGAGUUGUACGUCAUGGAGCAAUUCUAUGACUACAAGAUGACUGAUGAGCGCCCUGUUGUACAGCAGGCUCAUGAGAUACAGUCACUCGCAAAAGAACUUGAGUACUUCAAGUGUGUGUUGCCGGACAAAUUUGUUGCCGGAGGCAUCAUUGCCAAGCUUCCACCUUCAUGGAACAAUUUUGCUACUUCCCUGAAACACAAGAGACAGGAGUUUUCCGUUGCGGAUCUCAUUGGUACUCUUGAUGUUGAAGAGAAGGCGAGAGCAAAGGACACACGUGCUCGAGUUGCUGAGGGAGGUUCUAGUGCCCACAUGGUACAGAAGAAGAACUUCCAGCCCAACAAGUUCAAAAACAAUAAGAAUAAAACUCAGGGCAAAGGCAAGUUUGAUACAAAGAACAAGCCAUCACAUUCUACCAACUUCAAGAAGAAUUCUCAUAAGAAGGGGAAGGGACUUUGCCAUGUCUGUGGUGAUCCUAAUCACUGGGCUCCGAAGUGUCCUAACCGCUUUGAGGAGCGCGAACAUGAGAAGAGCGGCAAGUCCGCUAAUGUUGUCAUCGGUGAUACUGAUAUGAAGGAAUCAGGGUACGGUAUUUUUCCUACCAUCCUUUCAGUAUUUCAAUCCCCUGAUUGGUUAAUUGACACCGGUGCCAAUGUACAUGUUUAUGCUGACGCCUCCAUGUUUUCUUCUUACCAGGCAACAGGGACUUCACCCGUACUGAUGGGGAACGGGUCACAUGCCAUCGUUCGAGGUGUUGGUAUGGUCGAUCUGAAGUUUACUUCGGGGAAGACUGUGCGUCUGAAGAAUGUUCAUCAUGUGUCAUCCAUCAAUAAAAAUCUCGUUAGCGGUUCCCGUUUAUGUCGAGAUGGUUUUAAGUUGGUUUUCAAAUCCAAUAAAGUUAUAAUUUCUAAGUGUGGACAAUUUGUUGGAAAAGGCUAUGAGUGCGGAGGCUUGUUCCGCCUAUCUUUGUCAGAUAUUUGCACUAAAGUUAUUAAUAAUGUUUGCCACAAUAAUGAGUCUGAUAUUUGGCAUUCACGACUCUGUCAUAUUAACUUUGGUUGCAUGACGCGGUUAGCCAAUAUGAAUUUAAUUCCGAAAAUCUCUACUGUCAAAGGCUCCAAGUGCCAAGUAUGUGUGCAAGCUAAGCAACCUCGCAAGUCCCAUAAGACAGCAGAGGCAAGAGACUUGGCGCCACUAGAGCUUAUACAUUCUGAUCUUUGUGAGAUGAAUGGCGUGUUGACAAAAGGUGGAAAGAGAUACUUCAUGACGUUGAUUGAUGACUCCACUAGAUAUUGUUAUGUGUAUCUUCUGAAAUCAAAAGAUGAGGCUUUGACUUUCUUUAAAAACUAUAAAGUUGAGGCAGAGAACCAACUUGAUCGAAAAAUUAAACGGCUUAGGUCCGAUUGUGGUGGAGAGUAUUUUUCCAAUGAAUUUGAUAUGUUUUGUGCGGAACAUGGUAUAAUCCAUGAGAGGACGCCUCCCUACUCACCCCAGUCAAAUGGGGUAGCCGAAAGAAAGAACCGAACUCUAACUGAUAUGGUUAACACCAUGUUAGACACUUCGGGUCUAUCCAAGGAAUGGUGGGGGAGGCAAUAAUGACUGCAUGUCAUGUCCUAAACCGAGUUCCCACAAAGCAUAAGACCAUGACUCCAUUUGAGGAACGGGAAAGGAAAAGGUUGAAACUCUCUUACCUACGUACUUGGGGUUGUUUAGUGAAAGUCAAUAUACCAAUUCCCAAGAAGCACAAGCUUGGACCAAAAACCGUGGAUUGUGUUCUUUUGGGCUAUGCUUUUCAUAGCAUCGGCUAUAGAUUUUUGAUAAUAAAAUCUGAGGUAUCCGACAUGCAUGUUGGUAUGAUUAUGGAAUCAAAUGAUGCAACUUUCUUUGAGGACAUAUUUCCUAUGAAGGAUAUGUCGAGUUCAUCAAAUCAGGAGAUACCUACUCCAUCUAGUGAGGAAUUCACUGUAAUUCCUGAACCCACCAUUGCGAUGGAACACGUUGAGAAUCAUGUUGAGGGUAACAAUGGAACUCCUAUGAGGAGUAAGAGACAGAGGACUGCAAAGUCUUUUGGUGAUGAUUUCAUUGUGUACCUCGUGGAUGACACACCCAGGACUAUUUCAGAAGCCUAUGCAUAUCCUGAUGCUGACUACUGGAAGGAAGCUGUACGUAGCGAGAUGGAUUCCAUCUUAGCUAACGGUACCUGGGAGAUCACUGACCGUCCUUAUGGGUGCAAACCUGUAGGAUGUAAGUGGGUGUUCAAGAAGAAGCUUAGACCUAAUGGUACGAUUGAAAAGUACAAGGCACGACUUGUGGCCAAGGGUUAUACCCAGAAAGAAGGUGAAGACUUCUUUGAUACUUACUCACCCGUGGCUAGACUGACCACAAUUCGGGUGCUACUAUCAUUGGCUACCUCACAUGGUCUUCUCGUUCAUCAAAUGGACGUUAAGACGGCUUUCCUCAAUGGAGAGUUGAAGGAGGAAAUUUACAUGGAUCAGCCAGAUGGUUUUGUAGUACCUGGUCAAGAAGGAAAGGUGUGCAAGUUAUUAAAGUCUUUAUAUGGCCUUAAACAAGCUCCUAAGGAGUGGCAUGAGAAGUUUGAAAGAACAUUAACUGCUGCCGGCUUUGUAGUAAACGAUGGUGACAAGUGCGUGUACUAUCGCUAUGGUGGGGGCGAAGGAGUUAUUCUUUGUCUGUAUGUCGACGACAUAUUGAUCUUUGGAACCAAACUUGAUUUAAUCAAGGAGGUUAAGGAUUUCUUAUCUCGCUGUUUUGAGAUGAAGGAUCUAGGAGUAGUUGAUGUUAUCUUAAACAUCAAGCUGUUGAGAGAUGACAAUGGUGGGAUCACACUGCUUCAGUCUCAUUAUGUGAAAAAGGUCUUGAGUCGUUUUGGGUAUAGCGACUGCACGCCUUCUCCAACUCCAUAUGAUGCUAGUGUGUUGCUUCGAAAGAAUCGACGGAUUGCUAGAGAUCAACUAAGGUAUUCUCAGAUUAUUGGCUCGCUUAUGUAUUUGGCGAGUGCCACGAGGCCUGACAUCUCUUUUGCUUUGUGCAAGCUGAGUCGGUUUGUGUCAAAACCGGGAGAUGAUCAUUGGCAUGCACUUGAGAGAGUUAUGCGCUAUUUGAAAGGCACCGCGAGCUAUGGGAUUCACUACACCGGGUAUCCAAGGGUACUGGAGGGUUAUAGUGACUCAAACUGGAUAUCUGAUGCUGAUGAGAUUAAGGCCACAAGUGGUUAUGUUUUUACACUUGGUGGUGGCGUUGUUUCCUGGAAGUCUUGCAAGCAGACCAUCUUAACGAGGUCAACUAUGGAAGCAGAACUCACAGCAUUAGACACUGCCAUUGUUGAAGCAGAGUGGCUUCGUGAACUCUUGAUGGACUUACCUAUGGUUGAAAAACCAAUACCCCCUAUCCUGAUGAACUGUGAUAAUCAAACUGUGAUCGUCAAGAUAAACAGUUCUAAGGACAAUAUGAAGUCCUCAAGGCAUGUGAAGAGGAGACUAAAAUCUGUCAGAAAAUUGAGGAACUCCGGAGUUAUUACGUUGGAUUAUAUCCAAACAUCGAAAAACUUGGCAGAUCCCUUCACAAAGGGUCUAUCACGUAAUGUGAUAGAUAAUGCAUCGAUGGAGAUGGGUUUGAGACCCACCGCAUGAGUUGUCCAUAGUGGUAAACCACUCUAUGUGAUCGGAGAUCCCGUGAAGUAGAAGUGGGAGUCAAGCUGUUGGUCAGCUGGGAGGAGAGUAUCCCUAUAUUGUUUAUCCCACUCCGUGAAGAUGCAAUACUCUCCUGAUCUGCAUGGCAGGUUGAUACUUAUCUUAAUGUGUUCCAAGUGGCUUAUUCGGGUAAGCAGAGAUGUUGUCCUGCAGAACAUCUUCUGAGGAACACACCUAUAUGAAUUUGAUUGUUAACGUCGCAGUCUGUGAGAAUUGGGUGUUCUCUAAUAAAUUCAUGAAAGGCCCUGGAGUAUGACGUAUACGCUCCACCCGCGGGGAAGCCUUGCGGCAGCCCAGUAUCGGUCAAGAAUUUGUGUGAAUCUAGUUUCACUGAAAACUUGUAGUUCAAGGCAUAGUCCACUAUUCAAGUUGUGAUCUAGUGUAGCAUAAAUUUCUAAGUGGAAGUUCAACUUCACAGUCUCCACUAAGCACCGAUAUAUAAAACAAUGUUUUGGAACUAAAUGAUGAGAUGUGCCAAUGAGACUUUGUGGGGGAUUGUUGGAAUUUUGCUAGUAGGCCUUUGGCCCAAAGCCCAACUAAAAUUCUGAAAUUCUCUUGGCCCAUUCAUGCACACAUGUGAGUGGAGUGAGUGAGACUAAAGUUUAGUCCCACCCCGGAAGUUGAGAGAGAGUUGCACCUCUUUAUAAGGUGAGCUCUUCUACCACUUGUAUGGGCAUGAGAAGAGGAGACCUACACGCGCGCUCCUCCUCCUCGCUCGCCUCGUCACGACGCGACGCGCCGCGCCGCGCCGCGCCGCGCCGCGCCGCUGGUUGCGGGAUUGAGCCGAGCCGAGGACAGAGCUAUGCACGUUGUCUAUAUUUUUGUUGCAUGGGAAAAUUAAUGAGUCAUUAGUUAAUAAUUAACGGACGCGUUAAUUACUGAACCGUUUCCGAUUCUUUUGGAUCGUGACGACUCGGACGUGGGGUUUACUCCCACGACCUACCCGGCCCGCACUAUAUAGUCAGGCAGACGUCUACCUUAGCCGCCGCCGCUUCGUAUGGUUUCUCACCACCGUUCCAGAUCAUUGCGCCGCGAAGCAAGUCUUCUCCAUCCCUCCUUCCGGCGUGCACCGCGAGAAGGGACAGCAAGCCUCCGGAACCCCGCCUCUCGUGAUCCUGUACGGGAGAGGGGCGAUCAGGUUUUUGGGGAGCGCAUUCGCGCGACUGCUGGCAGCGACGACUUCGCGAACGAUGACUUCUUCCCCCACCUCGGCAACCUCGUCCUCGACGACAUGGGCGACAACGUCAACGCCAGCGGUGCUGCACCCGCUGCACCGUAUGUGAUUCUAUCCUUCCUGUUCGAGAUCAUGGUAGAAUUCAUGCUUCUAGUAUGUGCCCUAGAUGUGAUAUGUUCAUCUGCUAUGCUAGUUCGCAUGAUUAGUUUAAUCUCUGCUGCUGUGGUCAUGAUUUAUCUUCUGUUUAUUCGGAUUAAAUCUCGUAGUAAUUUGCUCAUAUUUCCAACAGUCGAAUUGGGAUUCUCACAUUUUAAUGGUGUGCUUUAGUGGAUGUUUACACUGUAAUUCUCAAUGGAUUUACAAUAUAAUUCCUACUGGAUUUACACUGUAAUUCUCAUUGGAUUCAUAGUGUGACUCCUUAUGGUUUCAGUGUAAUUCCCUGUGGGUUUACAGUGUAAUUCGUUUUGGUUAUCUAGUGUGAUUCCUACUGGAUUUGAAAUGUAAUUCCCAUUUAGCCCGUAAGUGUUGACGCUAGUCCAACGUUGGAUUUCGCAUCCUUGAGUCAGUAGCUUGGUGUAGGAUGGUCCUGCUGUAUGUGUGCUUUGAUUUUCUAAGGUUUGGAUUUGAGAUUUUAGGAACUAGAGUUUUGGUUUACUGUCAUGUUGUUCCUGGUUUUUUCCCACCAUUAUUAGUAGAUUUACAGUGUAAAUUUUAGUGUGUUUGCACUGUAGUCCUUAGUGCAUUUGCACUGUAAAUAUUUGUGGGUUUGCAUUGUUAAUCUUAGUGAUUUACAGUGUAAUUCUUACUUCUUUUGCACUGUAAUUCUUAGUGGAUUGUACAUUGUAAUUUUUAGUGAAUUUUUAUUGUAACUCUAGUGUAAUUAGUACUCUAAUUUUAUUGGUAUUACACUGUAAUUCUUAGUGGCUUACACUGUAAACGUUUUCUGCUAUUAGAAUGCCACACGUUAAGGAAAUCAUCUACAUCGUCAUUGAGGUGCGACGCCUGCCCCUUGAUGCUCCCUUCAUUUGCAUUUGGGUCGAUUGUAUGCACCUGCACUCAAUAUAUUUUGAGGAAAUUAGAAGUACUGAACUUGUUGUAGAAUGAACAAUAGUAUUAUCUGUUUGUGCCAACAAGUAUUCAGUUCUGAACUGUUAAUAAAUGCAGAAUGAUUUUGUAGAGAAGGUCCCAGUAAUUUUGAUCAAACAGGUCACAGAAAUUUGUUAUCAGCUUAUACGUUAUUUUUGUUAGUGGCUAUUAGUGUGAGGAGGCCUAGUCUAGUGUCAGUGCUUAGCCUGAUUGUGUUUUUCCCUUUUCCGUUAAUUUCAAUUUCAGUGCUUAUGUUAAUACAAAUAUAUAUUCAGUCUAAACUAGUUGUGUUUAUAACUGCAAAUUCAGAAACUUUCUUUCAUUCAAUCACAUCUUCACUUGAACAGCAAGAAAGUGUCUAAAACUGGAAUCUUGCCCCUUGUAUGUUCUUCUAGUUUUCCUAAAUGGAAUUCAUAGCUUCCUGGUCUUUUUUUGUCCCUUUGUUGUGUUUGUAGCUGCAAAUUCAGAAACUUCUGCAUCUAGUUUUCAGAAUCUAGUGUUCCUGUGAUCAUAGACUAGUAGUUCAUGUGACCAUAUCCUAGUUGUUCCUAUGUUGUUUUUGAGGUGUUUCUAGUUGUUCCUAUGUAUUCUCCUGGUUCUUGCUUCUUAUCUUGUUAUGUUCUAAUUUUCGAUCUUGUAUUGUUUUUGUGCUUCUUUUUAGCCUAUGUAAUGAUCCUCACAGGCUUGUAUUUUCUUCCAGAUGUAAUCAGGCAGGAGAGGGAUGAUAGGAGGGGGUUGCUUACCUGUGUUUUUUCUGCUUCUCCAGGCCAUAUGCUGGUUUGUUAGGAAGUUGCAGUGCAAUUUCUAAGUGCAGUUAUUUUCUAAGUGGGUUUACACUGUAAUAGAUAAUGGAAUAAGAAAAUUCUGGAUUACUGGAUUACAGUGGAAUUAAUAGCUAAUUGAAUUUCUAAGUUUAAUUACAUUGUAAUUCUGGAUUUUACACUGUAAUUCCUACUGGUUUAAAGUGUAAUUAUUAGUUGAUUUUGCUCUGUAAUGCCUACUGGAAUAUGAGAAUUUACACUGUUUUUCUUAGUGGAAUUAUAGUGUACUUUAAUUUGUUUUGACACUACAAUUGUCUGUGGAAUUGAAGUGUGUAAUUUACACUGUAAAUUUUAGUGGAAUUGCAGUGUACUUUUAGUUUUUUUACAUUGUAUUUCUUAGUGAUUUGCAGUCUAUUUUUAGUGUAUUUUGUUUUGUAAUUCUUAGUGGAAUUGUUAGUGUAGUUUUAGUACUUCUGCAGUGGAAUUUCUAGUGUUAUUUAAGAAAUAACAGUAUUUUUGUGUAAUUAUUUUGUGUUCUUUAGUGAAUUUGACACUGUAAAUCUUAGUGGAAUUGCAGUGUACUUUUAGUGGAUUUUACAUUGUAUUUCCAAGUGGCAUUUUUAGUGGAAUUACAGUGCAUUUCUAGUACUUUUAAAACUGUAAUUCUUAGUGGUAUUUGUUAGUGUCAUUUUAGUCCUUCGUAAGUGGACGCUGUAGAUGCUAUCUGUACGGGUUUGAAAAGCUUUGGGUGUGGACCCGUUAAAAGUUUGGUGUGUGGAAUUGCAGGAUAGGAAACAAUGAGCAGGGCACACGGGGCAUGGGACACUUGUUGUCCUUUAGUUGGCUAGAAAAUAUGACUGAAAGUGAAUUUGUUUUCAUCCGGAUGUAAAAUAGACAGUCCCAAAAAAAAAAAAGGAACGUUUGAUGAAAUGUAUCUCGAGCCCCAUCAUACGGGCACUCGGCCAAACCGGCCUGUCGUGAUGGAGCAUACGGCAACCCAUGAUCGCCAAGCAGUACAAACUGUGUUGUGUGUUUGACCAUCUACAACUCGGCAUUCGUCAUAUGACCCGAGUUUAUUUUAGUUACCUAAUCCUCUUUUUCUGUCUCUCAGCAAUGGCACACCUUUGUUGAGUCGUAUAAGUUGUCAAGAAAUGUGCUCAGCUUAUGUGGUUGUUACCGAGAUCUUGUGAUCUGGCCCUUUGCAAUGGUUCGAACACUCGGGAAAUCCCAUUUUUCCAUUACUGAAUGGAAGCAUGAGUGUUAAGUUUGAUAAUAAGUGAGUAUCUUAUAGCUCCAUUUGAAAGAUAUGAGUUAUCAAAGAAGUCUACGUGCACUUAGCACUCACUUAUUAUCAAAAUAUAAAUAUGACAUGGGUAGUUAAUCUAGCUUAUAUAUUAGGCCUCUUUGGUCUGUAGGGAUUGCUAAAAUGUAUGAAUGAGAAAAAACAAAUUCUUCUCAAAAAGGGAAAAGGAAUGGGAAAACACAUGAUUAGAGCAUCAUAACAUCUUGUAUAUAUCAACUGAGUUAAAAAUAUAACAACAAAAUAAUAUGUUGUACCAAAUCAUACAUAAGAUUGAUCUUGUCGAAAUUAACUAGAGCAUUUUUCAGAGGCUCUCAGGCCAUUAAGGCUUGAUCAACACAUACCACACAACACAUGCAUGAACAUAUAAUUUGAUUUAAGAAGGUACAUCAACAUUUCAGGGGUACUAUUACAGUUGCAGAUAACCAAAAAAUCACUUAUCAACAUUCACCACGUCGGUCUUGCACCCAAUACAAGCCACAUAAAUGUGAGAUUGUCACUGAAGCUUCCAUGAGCUUCAGCUUCAAUCAGCGGCCGGGUAGUUCCAAUUCCAUGACACACCAUACACAAGAAACAUGUCGAAAUGGUCGCGCUGGAACUAGAAUUAGAUGCCGUUGGGUUUGACGGUACCAUUGGACAACACUACCAACCCGCUGCAGUAAUCGCCAACGAACAUAGCACAUGACAACACACAAUAGCAAAUCAUACAAUAUGAGCUACUAUAAUGAACUUUAACAAUCCAUUUAUAACAGCGACUUAAAAACUAACAACAUAUGAACGUAUUAAUGUCUAUGAAAUUUCUAAACUACAAAAUAUGACUUAUGUUUUAUAGCUAACCUUAUAAAAUGUAAUGUAUGUUUGGGAAAUUCACAUAGAAAGCAAGCAUAAGUAUCAAUUGCACAUACACUUCUUUGAUAGCUCAUAUAUUUGAAAUCGAGCUAUAAGAUACUCACUAUUAUCUAACUAUAAAUAUGACAUGUUUUGUUAAUCUUGCCUAUUUUGGGCAUAUUUGGUCCAGCGGGUUGCUAAAAUGUAUGAAUGGGAAAAACACACUCUUCUCAAAAAAUGAAAAAGAAUGGGGAAAACACAUGAUUAGAGCAUCACGCCAUCUUGUAUAUAUCAGGGACUUGAAAACUUAAGAACAAAGUAACAUGUUGUACCGUAUCAUGCUUAUAGACUGAUCAAAUUAACUAGGGCAUUUCCAGAGACUCUGGGCCAUUAAAGUUUAGGCUUGGUCAACACAUGCAUCAACACCAUUUGCACCUGGCACUAGAAAAACCUUUGGAAUGUCAAAAUUAAACUUGGGAAAAUGUGAGUGCAAUGACGGUGCCGAAUGUAUAGGGAUCUGGCACAAGAUCUCUUCCCGCCUUCUCUCAGCGGAUACUCUAGCUAAUGGUUCUGGACGAGAAUACACUCAUCACAUACAUUGCUAUCUGCUCCGCCAUGAUCUUGUGGAUGCCCACCCAAUCCCUUUGAAUAUACACAUGCGCACACAUAAUUUUUUCACUACGACUAGCUAGAAAACAUGUAUGUGUGUUUCAAAGAGAGGUGGGGAGUGAUAGAGAGAUAUAAUAGAGACACACUACUUGGGGGCAUGGGUGCAUGAUGUUUGCUUGAACUACGUCGGUAUUUCCCCAAAGAAAAAGGAAUGAUGCAUCACAACAACGAUAGGUAUUUUACUCAGUGAUGAGACCAAGGUUAUCGAACCAGUAGGAGAACCACGUAAACAGCUCCUGCACACAAAGAACAAAUACUUGCAACCCGGCGUAAGAGAGGGGUUGUCAAUCCCUCACGGGUAAAAGGAUAGGUAAAAUUGUAGUAGAUUGGAUAAAUAGAUCUCGCGGGAACGUGAGAUAAAAUAAAUAAAUAAAAAUUACAGCAAGGUAUUUUUGGGGUUUUGAAUUAAUAGAUCUGAAAAUAAAAGCAAAUAAAGUUAGAUCGCGAAGGCAAAUAUAUUAAAGAAGAAACCCGGGGGCCGUAGGUUCCGCUAGUGGCUUCUCUUGAGAAAAAUAGCAACGGUGGGUAAACAAAUUACUGUUGGGCAAUUGAUAAAACUUCAAAUAAUCAUGACGAUAUCCAGGCAAUGAUCAUUAUAUAGGCAUCACAUCCAAGAUUAGUAGACCGACUCCCGCCUGCAUCUACUGCUAUUACUCCACACGUCGACCGCUAUCCAGCAUGCAUCUAGUGUAUUAAGUUCAUGGAGAAACGGAGUAAUGCAAUAAGAACGAUGACAUGAUGUAGACAAGAUCUAUUUAUGUAGAAAUAGACCACAUCUUGUUAUCCUUAAUAGCAACAAUACAUACGUGUCGGUUCCCCUUCUGUACUGGGAUCAAGCACCGUAAAAUCGAACCCAUCACAAAGCACCUCUUCCCAUUGCAAGAUAAAUAGAUUAGGUUGGCCAAACAAAACCCAAAUAUCGGAGAAGAAAUACGAGGCUAUAAGUAAUCAUGCAUAAAAGAGAUCAAAAGACUCAAAUAACUUUCAUGGAUAAAAGCAUAGAUCUGAUCAUAAACUCAAAGUUCAUCGGAUCCCAACAAAACACAGCGCAAAAAGAGUUGCAUCACAUGGAUCUCCAACAGACCAUUGUAUUGAGAAUCAAAAGAGAGAGAGAAAGCCACUAGCUACUAACUAUGGAACCAAAGGUCUACAGAAAGACUACUCACACAUCAUCGGAGAGGCACCAAUGAAUUUAUAGAGCAAAGAGGCGGUGCGGGAGGCCAUCGAGGUGGGCACAACCCACCUGGGCGCGCCUGGGGGCCCAGGUGCGCCCUGGUGGGUUGUGCCCCCCUCGGGGCACCCCCCAAGUGCUUCUCUGGCCCAUUGGAUGUCUUCUAGUCCAUAAAAAUUCCACAGAAAGUUUCGCUGCGUUUGGACUCCAUUUGGUAUUGAUUUCCUGCGAUGUAAAAAACAAGCAAAAAACAACAACUGGCACUGGGCACUAUGUCAGUAGGUUAGUACCAAAAAAUGAUAUAAAAUGAUUAUAAAAUGAUUUUAAAACAUCCAACAAUGAUGAUAUAAUAGCAUGGAACAAUCAAAAAUUAUAGAUAUAUGUUGGAGACGUAUUAGUGCACGGUAAAGGGAUCAUCGACGGUGGUCGGCAAAGGUUGGGAGAUAUGGUGGCCAUCAUUGCAAUCAGACUGAAGCAAAGAGGGGUGGGGUGGUGGCACGGGACUGUUGUUACUAGGGCUUAGAGUUUGCAUCGAGAUGCCGAGGGAUUAUAUGUAUGUGUUGGACAACACUAUGUUUAUCUCACCUAGUUGGACAACAACACAUGGAAGGCGGUAGAAUAAAGAAACAUGUAUGAGGUGUUGCUCUGUGUGUGUGGGGGGGGGGGUCGACGAGAUCCCUCCAGACACCACCCAUCUCUCUACAUUCUUCGACAAUUCCACGUAGAUCGUAAGAUAGAUUGCACAUUGAUCAACUACAACUACUGCUUGGUCUUAGGAUUUUCUACAGGGUUGGUGAUUCUUUGGGACAUUUGGGUUGCUAUGGUUUCUCAAAAAAUGAUUGUGUGGUUUCUAUCUACACAACAUACGUGGUAAUCAUAAGUUUCCAAUGAGUCCUAUUUAUAGCUAUGUGAAACUUUGAAAGUAUUAGAUUAUUAAUCGUGUGUAUAACAACGAGACUUCUUAAUGAAUAAACGUGUCACCUACUGUUGAGUGUACUUUACACUCAUCUUUUCCUAAGUUUAAACUUGUCACUUGAAGUUGCCCACUAAUAGCUAAUAAUUUUAAAAAUGUAUAAAUUUGCUUAUGUCUGAAAGUUGUUGCAAAUAUGAACAUAAAAUGGCAAAAUAAAGGUGAUAACCCACAAGUGCAGGGAUCGCAACAGUCUUUGUUGGGAAGUAUUACAACUCUAAUUCAUAUUUGACUUUAUGGGGCCGAGAAAAAACUUAUAGGCUUUGGCAGUUGAGUUGUCAAUUCAAGCACACAUGAAACGCCGUGGGAUUUUUUUCUUGCUAAUUGUUUGGUGUUUCAUGUAACUACAUAACAACAAAUAAGGCUAGGCAAGAAUAGCCUUUUUGGCCACAUUUUGUCUAUUCACUCAUAACAUCAAUUGGUCUUGCUGGUAAAGUCGAGACUUGGCAUUCUCGUCUCAUGCAAUGACAACAUUUACAUACUUACAUCUUCUCUUCAACUUCCAUCUUCUCAUGGCUUUUGCCCACAGAUUACCAUGUGCAGGGCCAUACUCGAGAAAAUGGAGGCUCGGUGUCAAAAAUCUGGCUCUCAACAUAACAAAUGUCAAUCAAGAAAAACAAAGCUUUGUUAUAAAUAUCAUCCCAUUGUUGCCAUGUACCUCAUCAGCACUUGUAUCUGCACUCCAAUUUUAAUGUGGCCAAAAAGGGUACACUCUUUGUUCUUGCCUCCUUGCUCAUCUUGGUGAAUCAGCAACCUCGCACUUGUGGCAUGCCUCCAACUCCUAUCAAUGCACCCAUGUCGUAGGACAGCGGCAAGCAACAAUGGGACUGACAGAACCAUAGGAGAUAUGUGAGAAACCGGGAAAAGUAGACUAAAUAAAUAGAUGGACGGAGAGUAGAAUAGUACCAAAAUUCAUUUAAUUAGAGGAUUUGUUUUGGGGAAAAUAUGAACAAAUUGAUCAACUGGAAUAGAAUCAAGGCCGAGAUUGGAUUGUAGGGAGAGCAAGGGAUCUACUCCAGAAAAGAAAGAGGGUGGAGAGAAAAGAGGAGGAGGGGUGCGUGAGAUGGGGCAUUGGAGUUCUUUUGUUCCAGGUUCCAACAUAGUAUUUGAUCGAUGCCUUGAUUACCCCCAUAUAAUCUAGUCAUUCAUGCUAUAUUGCAUAGACGAUUUGGUGCCCUGUUAAUUUGGGGGCCCUACGCAGUCGAACACUCCACGUGCCCCAUAGACCAUGUGCAUGUGCGAGUACCUAUUAGCUAGAUAGCACAAUGGGUCUGGCUAGAUGACCUUGCUUGUGUUGUGUGAUGUGUUAACGAUGGAUACUAGAGAUGGUCGAUAUUUGAUGAUAGGGAAGGGAUGUUGAAUCUAGCCAUGUAUUGUUAGAUAUAUGACAUGUAAGUUACUUCUUAGAUUCAAGACCCUCAGAACAAUCCUUGGUCCCAGGCAGUGAAAACCAAUAAAAAAACACAUGCUAUAAGCAAUGGUAGGCACAAAUCCAAACACGGGGGCAAAUAGUGGAUACCUUAAGGACAAUUAUCCCGUAGGGAAGCAAACCAUAUCUCUACCUUACUAAGCAUUGUUGAUUCUCUUUUCUUUCUCUAGCACAAGACAUGAAAUUCGUCCGGUGCAAUUGUGGAUCCUAAAUUCAUGUGAUUUAUUUUCCAGCUUGCAGCACAUGACAACACACAAUAGAAAAUCGCAGCGUAUGAGCUAUUAUAAUGAACAUUACCAAUCCACUUAUAAUAAUGACUUAGAAACUAACAACACAGUAACAUAUUAAUGUCUGUGGAAUUCCUAAAUUCUAAAGUAGGACUUAUGUUUUAUAGCUGAUUUUAUAACCUGUAAUGUCAGAAAUAUUGAGAAAUUCACAUGAAAUGCAAGCAUGAGUGCCAAUUGCACAUACACGUAUAUGAUAACUCAUAUUUUUAUACUCGCUUAUUAUGUAACUAUAAAUAUGACUUGUUUUGUUAAUCUAGCUUAUUGGGCCAAUUUGGUCCAUAAGGGUUGCUAAAAUGUAUGAAUGGGAAAAGCGCAUUCUUCUCAAAAACCAAAAAAUAACGGGAAAAACACAUGAUUAGAGCAUCACACCAUCUUGUAUAUAUCAAUGACUUAAGAACUGAGUAACAUAUUGUACCAUAUCAUACUUAUGGAUUGAUCUUGUUGAAAUUAACUAGAGCAUUUUCAGAGAUUCUCGGGCAAUUAAAGUUUAGGCUUGAUCAGCACAUGCCACACAACACAUCCAUCAACAUAUAAUUUGUUUUAGGAAGAUACAUCAACCUUUCAUAGGUACUAUCAGAGUUGCAGAUGAUCAAAACAAGCGCGAUCUCGUGGUAUGCAUGCUGUUCUGCUUAAUUUCCUUGAUCAAUGUAUUGUCUUGUUUGCAGACUUCUCAAGAGAUUGGUGGCUGAGAAUGGAAAGCAUAAAUGGGCAAAGAUUUCAAAACACCUCCCAUGACGGAUUGGGAAGCAAUACCAUGAGCGAUGGACAAAUCCCCUACACCCCGACCUCAAGGUCCGCUUAUUAUUUUCAUGCAUAGCGGCUUAUAAUCUUUAUUUUAAUUAGCGGAAACCUUGCAUAGAUCUAUACAUGAUUUGGAAAUCUAAGUUGUUUUAGUUAAGUUUUUAAUAUGUUCAAACUAAAACAAUUUAGACCAAAAGAUUAGAAAUUUUAGUGGCAUGUGCCAUCCGUGGUCUCUUGUUUUUGUUAUAUUAUGAGCAUAAAUUAAAAUAACUAAAACCUAAUUGAGGUCGCAAAUCUCCAGCCUCUACUCCUAUGUUUGGAGAAAAAAUAAUAGAUGGUAUAGAUUAUUUAUUUCCCUUGUUGUCUAUAGAUGUCAAUUGCGACUUCCUUAUUUCGACCACACGAGUUUCUAGAGUCUUCCGCGGUGGCAGGGCUAGGGGUGGCCGGGUGGGCGAAAGGGAGCCGUGGCCCCCUCAUGGUUUGUCACUCUUACCACCAUCUGGGCCAUACCUUUUUCUUUUUCUCAAUGCUACAGGGCCUCCCAUUUUGGCUUUUUUCCUAGAUUUUUUUGUUUAGGCGUGUUGUUGAAAUACUCAAAUUUGGUGGUAUUUUUUCACGAUGUGUUUCUUACCCUUUCUUCAAUAUGACAUUUGUAUUUUUUUUCAAUAUAGCUUACCACUUAUACCAUGUGAUUGUACCUUCAUGUGAUUGUACCCUUCAGUUGUUAGGGCAUGACCAUGUGAUAGCCUCAUGGUGAUGCCUCAUGUGCCAUGUAGGAUCGGAUGUCAGGGAAAAUAGGUUCGGAUAGGGAAGCGGGAUCCUCUGCAAGAGGCAGGUGCUUGAGGAGAAAAAAUGUGCUCCAAUGUAAAAAAAACUGAAAAAGAUGAAAUGAAGAGUAGAGAUGCAUAUGUAUUAAAGUUUUUAUUUUCUAUUCCUUGAUGAGGCCCAUUAGUAGUAGCUUCUGUUGAGGAGAAAAAAUCAGUGUAGUUGCCUCAAUCUACUUUUUCUCAUGGGGCAUCUCUAUCCAUAUGUCAUCAUUAUGCAUGCCCGGUUGAUGCACCGACGGUUAUCUAGAAAAGCACCUCUGAUGUCAUUGUCUACCACAUUUGUUGAGAAUCUGCUAGUCAGCUAAAACAAUAAAAAUAAUUUUCUGGCAGAAAAGUAGUAAGAUAUCGCUUGCGAGCAAUCACACUUCGAGAGCCUAUCAGUCCACAGCGAGUACAGUAGGGGUUGAAUGCAGUUAAGUCAGCUAAUAAUGUUACAUUCUGAGGUGCUGAACUAUAAAAAUCUGCAAUGUCAUGGAGGACAAAGCAUAGUCAGUUGAACAUUGCUAUACACACGACCCCAUGUGCACGAUUUAUGGACGACACUGUUAAUCAAGCCGUUGGUGCUAGAAAGCAAACUUCAGUACAUCGGCAGAUUUUGCAUCGGCCCUGAAUCGGCCACGCAUCAGUCGUUCGCAAAGUAGUUUCGUAGUCAGUUUAGAUACAACAAUUCACAGUCCCAGAAUAAUUAAAAUUAGUCAUACUCCCCGCGGGUAACAUAACAAUACUACACACCAAAAAAUCAAGCACCAUACAAACCUGCAAUUUUGUCGGCCAAAAUUGUGUUGACCACACAAAUAGCUCAUGCUCCUCGAUUAUAAAAGAUAAAAACACCAUCGUCGCUUAUUAUGAUAUUAAUAACAGCCGCUUUGCUGCUUCCCCUCUGUAAACAAAAGAUAGUUGCAAAAAUCAGUUCACUUAUGGCUAUCCAUGGUUGAGGCUAUAACAAGUCAAAAUUCAUGCAACUGCAUGAACAUAAGACGCUAUGUUUUUCUUGGAUAUGCCAAUGCAAACAAAAAACUGAACCUUGGGACUUUCUUUUUAUCAUUUGACUCUCUUCAAAUCAAACACCACAUAAGCAUCUGCAGUGGCGAAGCAGCACAAGCACGCCGAGCACACACCCAACACACACGCACGGCAGAGCAGACAGUAGCACCACACACACACAGCACACACGUACAGAGGAUGCAAGACCACACAGACGUACGCAGAGCACGCACGCACGCACAUACGCAUGCGAGAAGAAGAGUCGUGUACCCAUAUCUCGAUAAGCAACCAGCACAAUUAAUUCCAUGAAGAAAGUAGUAACAUUGAGUGCAGGCUUUAACUGGUGCAAAUUAUCCCUGAUAGGAGCAUCAGAGAGGUCAACAUUCGGAUAGAGGGCCAGCGGCAUCUGCAAAUGGACAGCGGAAACAUAUGCGGUCUCUGCUUUCACCAACAUGCUGAUUGCACAACACCCAGGCAUGCAUAAGUGGGCAGGUAAAAAGUUAUCUACCGUCUCUUCGUUUCUCUCAUAUUGAUUUUUUUUAACACAGUACAGACACAAGCGCUCAUAUAUACGUGUAUACACUCACCUCAUGAAGACACACACGCACACGGCACACCCUAUUCCUAUGAGAGCCGACAUAUCUGUCCCUCUAACUAUCCAACUACCCCUAUCUUAUGUGUGUUAUGACCUCAUCCUCUAAUUAAAACUGAAAGCCGAUGAAACUGAAUUUUUACAUACAUUUUUACUCCAUUUGUCUUAUGUGGACGCGACAAGAACUUUUAGCAGUCUUUUGUAUUUAUAUUAGGUUUGAGUUUUCGAGAAAGCAAGGCUAUAGAAUUUUAAGGUUAAGACUGAAUAAGAGCAAACAACCUUCGUAUGAUCGGGUUUUUUUUUUUUGAGACCAACCUUCGUAUGAUCGUUGUGACAAGGAGAUGGUAUUCUUUCUCACGGUAGGUUCGGCCCAUUUUCUUUUAGUAAGAAAAUCAUCGAUGUCCUUAGUUAUCUGCUCAAAUGGCCAAAUAUGCAGAGCUGCAACUCAUAGAGCACUUAUAGCCGGACUUUGGCAAACUGACGGUCACAUCUCAAAUUUCCUUCUCACAAUCAGAUAUUUUAAUUAGCAUACCUCAAAUCCAUACAGAAUCAUACAACACACAUCGUUCGGCUACUACAUCAGGACAUGCCAUCACACUACCAAAAUUUGGCAUGUUCUACCUACAUAUUAACUAUGGAGAAGAUCGUCCAUGUCUGCCCUUGCCCUUCCCGGUGCCCUUGACUUCCUUCUCGCAAAAGUAGCGAUCAAAAACCUAGUAUGGAUCAAGUCGGAUCUUGAAAGUGCGUUAUAUCGACUAUAAGGGGGGUGAAUAGGCGAUUUUUAUGAAAUUCCUUAGCGAAGAACUACUAGCAGCGGAAUAAGUACUCAAAAGUAAACAUAACAGAAUACAAGCAUAGUCAUCAUGAUGAAAUGAAGACAGGCACAGAAUACAGGAAGCGUAAGCACAGGAUAACACAGGAUGAAGACAAACAGAUUGAAGAAAUUGAACUAAGGAAAUUGAGAAAGUCUUCAGUCAAAGUCUUCAAACACAUAUAUGAACAAACACACAACACAGUUAUGAGGAAAUGAAAGAGUUGAGGGAAUAGAACCAGUAAGCUUGGUGAAAACAAUGAUUUGGUAGACCAGUUCCAACUGUUGUCUCAGUUGUACGUCUGGUUGGAGCGGCUGAGUAUUUAAAUUCGAGGACACACAGUCCCGGACACGCACUCCUGAACACGCAGCUCAGGACACUCAGUCCUCACCGUAUUCUCCUUGAACUAAGGUCACACAGACCUCGUCCAAUCACUCGUGGUAAGUCUUCACGUGACUUCCGAACCUUCACAGACUUGGUCACUCGGUGAUCCAUAAUUCCUUUUGGAUGCUCUAGACCAUGACGCCUAACCGUCUGGAAGAAGCACAGUCUUCAAAGGUAACAAGCGUCGGAUCCACGCAGGAUCAAUCUCUUCAGUGAUGCUCAAUCACUUGGGGUUUGUAGGUGUUUGGGUUUGGAUUUUUCCUCACUUGAUGAUUUUCUCUCAAAGUCCUCGGAGGAUGGGUUGCUCUCAAAUGACAAGUGUCAGUUUCUCUCGGAGCAGCCAACCAGCUAGUGGUUGUAGGGGGGCGGUUAUUUAUAGCCUAGGGAGCAGUCCGACAUGAUAAGACAUAAAUGCCCUUCAAUGAUAUAUGACCGUUAGGUGGAUAGAUAUUUUGGGACAGCUGGCGCAUAGCACAGCAACGGUCGGAAUUUUGAGUAGCAAAAUCCUCAGCGCUAUCAUGUUCCUCACUGUAUAGACAAUCCGCACUGGCGAAUUUCUAACUCCUCAGUCAGAACAAAUUCCUCAGAGACUAGAAGAACUUCGUCUCUGUCACUGAAGAAUAUGACUGAACUGUAUGAGAUUUCCAAUGGCUUCACUCGAAGGGAUUGGUAGGUGUAGGAUUUUGAGUUGAGCAUCACAUGGAAAUUUUUCCUUAGUAUUUCCUCGACCCCCUUUAACAAUACGGUGUUUCCUAUGACUCAAAAAAGAGAAAAUGAAACUACGAAAACAAAAGUCUUCACGCUUCAUGUUCCUCGAAUGAAUACCAAGUCUUUAAGGUCACACCAAUUUUUUCACUUUCAAAGUCUUCAGAAAGCCAAAGUCUUCAGUCGAAGAACUUCAUUUUUAGGGGUCGACUUUCUCUGUAAAUAUCAAACUCCUCAUAGACUUAUAGACAUGUGUACACUCACAAAUGCAUUAGUCCCUUAACCUAUAAGUCUUCAAUACACCAAAAUCACUAAGGGGCACUAGAUGCACUUACAAUCUCCCCAUUUUUGGUGAUUGAUGACAAUAUAGGUUAAGUUUUCAACGGGGAUAAACAUAUGAAGUGUAAAUACUGAUAUUGAGGAAUUUGAUUGCAAGAUAUAGAAGAACUCCCCCUGAAUAUGUGCAUAGUGAGGAAUUUGCUUUUGAGGCAAUGCACACUUGAAGAGUUGAAUCAUGGAGAUCUCCCCCUAUAUCUUGUAAUUCAUACACGCAUUUGACAUAUAACAGUGAAGAAUUUGAAAUGCAUGAUGAAAUAUGGUGACUGAUGUAAUUCAGCAUGCGUGCAAUGAAAUUAACGAGGACUAAGCAUGCAGAAAAAUGUCGGGUUUAAUUUUACAACUUGAUCCAAUAAAGUCUCAGAAGAACGAGAGUUGUAACUUGAAAAAAAACGUCCAUAUAGAAAGACCCACUUGAAGACUAACUCAAAAUUCUCCCCCUUUGUCAUCAUAUGACCAAAAGGAUCGAAUAUGAGGACUAACGCCCCUGAAGAAUAUCAAGUUGAUGAAGGAGCGCCAGCGUUGUUGGGGUCGUCUGUCGUAGUAGGGCCUGCCGCGGUGUCAUCCAUGUCUUCAUUCUCAUCAGUGUCGCGCGAUGAAGAAAAUGAGCUGGCCACCAGAGAAGGAACCUUGACCUUCUUGAAUUUCUUUGGUGGAGGUGCAGACCAGUCAAAAUAUUCCUUGAGACCCAUUUUCUUCAGAUCUUCUUCACCAUACAGAUGUGAUAGUAUUACCCAGGUGCGACCGAAGACUUCAUGGAGGUAGUAAUGGUUUUUCUUCACUGCAUUAUGUGUAGCAGUCAUGUUGUGAAGAAAUGAACCAAACUGAGGAAUCUCAUAAUCCAAGGUGCAUAAGGCUUUAGCUCAAACGGAGACAGUGCAACAUUUGCCAGAGUCCUCAUGAAGAAAUUGUGAUAAUUGACAGGAAUACCAGAUUCUUCAUAAUGCCAACAAUUUCCUCAUCAGAUGAGUCGUGGCCUUUGAUAGGACUCAUUGUACUCGUAAGAAUACGAUAGACAGUUCUGGGCACAUAAAGUAAUUCCUUCACGAGGAAUUUGGUUCAUGGGGCCUGACCUGGCUUCAAAGGUUUUAUCAGAACCUGCAUGUAGUGAUUUGUAAGCUUAGGUUCACUGUAGAUGCAACGAGCUUCUUCAAGGGGAGGACUGAGUGCUAAGGCAUGAAGCAAUUCAGAAGCUGGUGUAGUGUAGUGAGUGUUUUCAGACAUCCAGUCCAGCACCCAUGAAUUCACAUCUUCAGAAUCUUCUGUGAUGUGCAGCGUUGCAUAAAAUUAAAGAAUCAGUUCUUCAUUCCAAUCACAGAUGUCAGAGCAAAAAAUUUAACAGUCCAGCGUCGUGAAGAACACUGAGGAUUGGCGCGAAACACGGCAGAGAUUCCAUAUCCACAUGAGGAAUGUGCUCAUGGUAGAAGAUUUUCUCUUUGUUGAACAGCACUGAGGAAUAGAAAUUUGCUUGACUAGCAGUCCAGAAACGCCUCUUCCUAAUGCGAGUAGAGUUAUAAGGGUUGUAGUCUUCGAAGAAUACAUGCUCGCUGAAGAAAUCAUCAGCCCUGAACUUUUGCUUGCGUGAGAAUGGAUCAUUUGGCUUAGGCAGAGGAGUGUCAGUGAGUUGCAUCACGACCUCAGGAAUCGCAAUCUCAGGUUCUUCAGGCUGAGGAAUUUUUGGUUCCUCUUCAGUGGCAGUCUGUGUCUUCAGAUGUUCAGUAGCAGCAGUUUCUUCAGCACUAGUGGCUGGAAUUUCCUCAUGUACAGAUGCAGUGGGGUGAGUUUCUUCAGAGCCUAUUUGAACAGUUUGUGUGGGGGACUGAGAUAUUUGCUGCAACGGUGUGAACAUUGGAGAGUUUGGAUGCUGACUUUCCCAGAAUUCAUCACUUAUUACUAGUGUGGAGCAGCCAACGUCCACAUCUUCAUCUUCCAUUUCUUCAACGCUGGCCUCUUCAGCUGUGAACUGAGGCAUGGGCGAGGAGAUGACAGGUGUUGAAGGGAUCGCAUCCACUUCAAUUUCUUCAUCAAUCUGCUCUGACGAAGCAGCAAAAUGAUUUUCUUCAUCAGGUCCGCUAGAGAUCUCAUAUUCUUCACCAAAAGGAACAAGGUCCUUUGAUGGCAUGGUUGAGAUUGGAACAACAUCAAUGGGAUUAGCAAAUGAACUGGUCAAAGGCUUCAUCUUCUUCGGAGCUGAAGAAUCUGAAGUAGCUGAUGCUUUCCUUUUCUUCACUGCUGCACGCUCUACAGCCUUGGUUUUCUUCACAUCUGAUGCAGAUGGAAGUAUCGGAGUUGGUGUUGGCGCAGGAGGAGCAGAGGAAUCUGGUUGAUUUUCUUCAGGCACAAUUGAUGCAGUUGCCCUGAUUGCUUCAGUUUCUUCAGGCGCACCACUAAUGGAUGCCCUGGCAAUUUCUUCAGCGGCUGGAAUGUAGUCAUCAGCCCUAGAAAUCACAUUUUCUUCAGCAGCCUGAUUUUCAUCAGUGGUGCUAGCAUGUUGUUCAGUCGGCUGAGUAGAUGCUUCAACCUGAGGAACUUCCUGUUGCGUUGGGGCUGCAACAUUUGAGGUGAAGUUAUCAGCGAGUCUCACAAAACAAACUUUGGCUCCAAGCCAAUCAGCAUGGUAUGCGUCAAAUUCAUCACUGAGUUUCUUGAUCUUAGAUUGAGUAGUGACAAGUUCUUCAGUUGUCAUAGAGACAACGUUUUUCUUCAGAUAGCGCUCCUUCUUGUACUGCGCUUUCUUGAUCUGCCUGGCCUUCUCAAAUUUCCAUUUUUCUUCUUGAAUGAAGUGAGUCAGCAUGUGACUUUGGCCAGGAGUCAGCUUCAAGUCAGGCAUGGGAGUGUUGGGGUCCUUGUGCCAAACGUCAAUGUAUUCGAGGAUCAACUUGGGAUCCAAAAGCAGUGGCACAUUUGUUCCCUUGGCGCUAGCGGCCCUGACUUGCCUAUCUCUGAUGAUUUCAGCAAGUUCAUCAUCAUCAGCUUCGUCUUCUUCAGACGGCACUUGGAAGGCGACCUGCUUCUUCUGAAGACUAGGGCGAGGACCUCGUCCAGCAGUGGCCUUUGUCUUCAGUAGAGAGGGUCCCAUUGAGGAAUUUGGUGCAGCUGAGGAACUAGCUGAAGCUCCUGAGGCAAUUGAGACGCCUGUGGUCCUUUGACACGUGGCAAGAUGCACAGUUGCAGAGGACUUUGUCGGAGCGGCCGAAGACUUUGGCGGAGGAGUUGAGGACUUUUGAGGAACAGGAGCAGCAUGAGGGAUUUGCCGUGAGGGUUUUGAGGAUUCUAGCCGUGAGGGCAUUGCUGAGGAACUUGACCUUGAGGGCACUGUUGGUGAAGCACUUGGCUUGCGCGCAGACUUCUUUGACAUAGCCUUCUUCGGCUUGACAGCAAAGGCCUCAGCAGAGGUAGCUGCUGCAGCAGAGUCUUCAUUGAAUUUCCUCACUACUUUUCUGGCUUGCUUAGCCAACUUGGCUUGGCGCUUGGCCCAUUCAUCAGGAUAGUCCUCACCGCGCUUGAGGCUGGUGGGAUCAGCUAUUUGGCCAGGUGCCAAUGGAGGUCUUGGGCAUGAAGGAUUGAGUGUGAAUUUCUUCAUGUACUUGGGAGUAACAUACUUGUACUCCCUCCACUCUCUUGCCCAUCUCCUCUCUAUCUUCUGAAUGCGCACCUUGUGCUAAUUUUUGUCUUCCUUAGGAGGUGUGCAGUACCCAGCAUAUAUAUCAUCAGGGAUCUCAAACGUUGUGUUAACCUCAGUCCUCUUUCCUCCUUUCUGUGGCUUCUUACCGUCAGCCAUUUUCUUCAGUUGAGGAAUUUGAACAAUUGAAUUCUCUGAAGAAGUAUGCAACUUUUUUUCGAGGAACGCUACAAAUGAGUUAACUUGAUGAGAACCUAGUGAUUCAGCAGCUGACAUGAGUACCUGUGAACAGAGUAUAGUUGCGAGGAAUUUGGAGAAGUCAUAUGCGUUCUUAGAAGGUUUUAUAAAGAACAAGUUUGAGGAAUUUGACCAGAUGAGUCUUGAAGAAUUUCACUAAGCGUUCUUUGUCUUAGGUUCCAGAGAUGUGUAGAUCAAAAAUCCACACAUUUGAGGAAUCUUGAAGAAAAACAUAGCUUAGAGAAACGAAUCAAGAACAGAUGAUAUGUGAGGUGUUUUAGUGUGUGAAGAUAUGAAGAAAAACACCUUUGAAGAUUUUGUAGAUAAUCAUUCGAAUCAACAAGGGCAGUAAAAGUAACUUUUAAUUACCCUGGAUGAAGAACACGACGAACAAUGAGGUGGACAGGUGAAGUUCGUAUGUGUGGAUCUUCCACACCCUAACUUGGUGGAGGAAGACGGCUACGGCGGCGGCGGAGAGAAGAUUUCCGCGGCCGGCACGAGUACGGCGGCGACGAGGUCGAGGCAGUGAAGCACUUCCUCACCGGCGACGAUGAAGUAGCGGCGGCGCUAGGGUUUGAGAAGGUUGAGCUGGAGAGAAGUCGAGCGGAGUAAAAGAAGUGAGGAAGGGGAAGAGGGGUAUUUAUAGCCACGGUGAAAAAUUGUUCGCCCGAAGAAAUUGGACGAACGUGCCCCUGACCCUUCUCAUUCGCUUGACAUGUGUCACCCAUGUACUGAGAGGUGGAGAUCGUGUACGAUCGUGGGUGAAUGGAUAAGUGUAUCAUGGGAUGCAGAACGGUUUGAGCGGAAAAGCCGAAAAUUUAGAUAAGAUAGGUUUUAAAGUUCCGCUCGCAAUUUCUUCAGCUGACAAGGACACCGUGAAGAUUUUGAACGAGUUUCAAAUAGAACGCACAUGAAGAAUUUGUGAACAGAUUGGGUUGAGUUUAGCAUAGAUGGGGAAGGGUCUGAUUACAUUCACUUAGCAGAAAAACCAACUUGAAGAAUUAGCAAUAAGUGAAUGUUGUAGAGGACAUAAACUCAUAUAAAUAUAUAGACAAUGAAGAAAAACGACGGAAACAGUGAAGACAAUGCAAAGUUGAAGAAUAUGAACAACUGAGGAAUUUCAACUUUUGGUGGUGGCGUGACCCACCGUAUAAGAAUGAUGAUUUCAGACACCACGUACAAUUAUCGUAGGGUUCUGAGAAUCAAAUUCUUCGUUAAUUUAUUCACACUAAGAGUGUUAUUCUUCAUUGAUUGGAGAAAAACAUUUCUUCAUGUGUUGCACAUCUAAGUCAUCAAUUUUGCAUAAGUGCUAGGAUGAGUGUCCUUUUCAAAGAAUAUUCGAAGAUUUUAGGAUAUUUAGCUCACACCGCAACUUGCUAAAUCUCUUCUCAUCCAAGGGCUUUGUGAAGAUAUCGUCUAGCUGUUCUUCAGUCUUCACAUGCUCAAUAGAAAUGUCGCCCUUCAACACAUGAUCAUGAAGAAAAUGAUGACGAAUCUGAAUGUGCUUAGUCUUCGAGUGUUGAACUGAGUUGUGAGCAAUCUUGAUGGCACUCUCAUUGUCAGAGAAGAGAGGCACAUUCUUCAUUUUGACGUCAUAGUCCUUGAGUUUGCUUCAUCCAUAGCAAUUGAGCACAGCAAGAACCAGCGGCAAUGUACUCAGCUUCAGCGGUAGAUAGUGAUACGCAGUUCUAUUUCUUUGAGGACCAACAGACCAAAGAUCGUCCGAGGAAAUGACAUGUACCAGAUGUUGACUUGCGGUCCACACGAUCACUAGCAUAGUCAGAGUCAGAAUAUCCAAUGAGAUCAAAAGCCGAGCCCUUGGGGUACCAUAAUCCAAGUGUUGGUGUGUGAGCUAGAUAUCGAAGAAUAUGCUUCACAGCCUUAUGGUGUGAUUCCUUCGAUGUAGCUUGAAAUCGGGCACACAUGCAAACACUAAGCAUUAUAUCUGGCCUAGAUGCACAUAAGUACAAUAAAGAACCAAUCAUGGAGCGGUAUACCUUAUGAUCGAAGUUAAUAACAUUUUCAUCAGUGCACAGAUGGCCAUUUGUGGGCAUAGGAAUUUUGACGCCUUUGCAAUCUUGCAUGCCAAAUUUUCUCGGUACAUCCUUGAGGUAUUUCUCCUGAGAUAUGAAUAUGCCAUUGCGUUGUUGACGAAUUUGAAGACCUAAGAAGAAUUUCAACUCUCCCAUCAUAGACAUUUGAUAUUCUUCACUCAUCAUAUAGGCAAAUUCAUCACUAUAACAUUGGUCAGUACAGCCAAAGAUAAUAUCAUCAACAUAUAUUUGGCACACAAACAAUUCACCAUCAUAAGAUUUAGUGAAAAGAGUAGGGUCGAGUGAACCAGGUUUGAAGCCUCUCUUCAUGAAGAAUUCCUUCAAGGUAUCAUACCAUGCCCGAGGGGCCUGCUUGAGGCCAUAGAGGGCCUUGUUGAGUCUGAAGACUUUGUCAGGAUUCUUUGAAUCUUCAAAACCUGGGGGUUGAGCAACAUAUACUUCUUCCUCAAGCUUACCAUUGAGGAAUGCACUUUUCACAUCCAUUUGAUAUAAAGUGAUAUCAUGAUGGUUAGCAUAAGCAAGUAAUAUGCGAAUAGCCUCAAGUCUAGCAACAGGUGCAAAAGUUUCAUCGAAAUCAAUUCCUUCAACUUGUGUGUAGCCUUGAGCUACAAGUCGUGCCUUAUUUCUCACCACAAGGCCAUUUUCAUCUUGCUUGUUGCGGUAGAUCCACUUUGUGCCAAUGAUAUUGUGCUUGCGAGGAUCUGGACGUUUGACCAGUUCCCAGACGUUGUUGAGCUCGAACUGAUGUAAUUCUUCUUACAUGGCCUGAAUCCACUCAGGUUCCAGAAAUGCUUCAUCUAUCUUAGUGGGCUCUGUGAUAGAGACAAAAGCAUAGUGCCCACAAAAGUUAGAUAAAUGUGAAGCUUUUGAGCGUGUGAGAGGACCUGGCGCUUUGAUGUUAUUGAUGAUCUUUUCAACUUGGACUUGUUUUGCAAUGCGAGGAUGAGCUGGUUGUCGUUGAGAAAUUUGAUCAGCAUUCUCUUCAGCACCAUUUUCUUCAGUGUUUUCUUCAGUAGGAAUGACAUCCUCAGUAGCCUUGAACUUGAUAGUUUCCUCAGGUGCUGGUUCAUCUAUCACAGUAGGUAGGUGCUCUCUUUGUGAGCCAUUAGUUUCAUCGAACCGCACAUCUACAGUUUCAACAACCUUGUGAAGAACAUUGUUGAAGACCCUGUAGGUGUGCGAGUCCUUUCCGUAACUAAGCAUAAAACCUUCAUGUGCUUUCGGUGCAAAUUUUGAGUUGUGAUGAGGAUCUCUAAUCCAACAUUUAGCACCGAAGACUUUGAAAUAACUUACAUUGGGUUUCUUAUCAGUGAGGAGUUCAUAGGCAGUCUUCUUGAAGAAUUUGUGAAGAUAUACUCUGUUGAUGAUGUGGCACGCAGUAUCGAUUGCCUCAGUCCAGAAAUGACGAGGCAUUUUGUAUUCAUCAAGCAUUGUGCGAGCCAUCUCAGCAAGAGUCAUGUUCUUGCGCUCCACGACGCCGUUCUGCUGAGGAGUAUAAGGAGCAGAUAACUCAUGAGUAAUACCAAGUUCAUCAAGAUAGUCAUCUAGACCAGAAUUCUUGAACUCAGUUCCAUUGUCACUUCUGAUAUGCUUGAUCUUCACACCAAAAUUGGUUGAAGCCCUCGAGGAAAAUCAUUUGAAGACUUCCUGCACUUCAUGUUUGUAAGUAACAAGGUGUACCCAUGUGUAACGAGAGUAAUCAUCAACAAUAACAAAGCCAUAUUGAGAUGCUUCAUUUGAAACAGCAGAAUAAUGAUUAGGACCGAAGAGAUCCAUGUGAAGCAAUUCAAAUGGGCGAGUAGUGGUCAUGAUAGUCUUCGCUGGAUGCUUGGCCUUUGUCAUCUUCCGAGCUUCACAGGCUCCGCAUAGGUGAUCCUUGAGGAAUUUGACAUUCUCGAUGCCAAUUCCUCAUGCCUGCAUGAUCAAGUCGUCGAUGCCAGAGCCAGCCUUCUGAAGCUUUUGCAAGUAGGCACACGGCUGGUUGUGGUCCUGUAGAGAAAUCAACAAUAUACAAGUCUCCUCUCUUAAAGCCUUCGAAGACUUUGGAAUUGUCAGCUUCCAUAACCACAACACAACGAUACUUGCCAAAGACAACAACCAUAUCAAGAUCAUAAAGCAUUGAGACAGACAUAAGGUUGUAUCCUAAGGACUCGACAAGCAUGACUUUGUCCAUGUGUCUAUCCUUUGUGAUCGCAACCUUACCUAGACCCAAUACCUGACUUUUGCCUUUGUCGGCAAAGAUGAUAUGCUUCAGAUGCGACGGAGAUAAUGGAGCAUCCAUCAAUAGAUUCUUGUCACCAGUCAUGUGAUUUGUACAUCCACUAUCGAGGACCCACUCAGUGGCUUUGGGUUGAUCGUCCUGCAGAUGAAUUAGUGCAGCUUACAAACUCAUAUACUUCAUCAGUGAAGAAUAUGACAUCCAUUCAUCAGAUCAAUUUCAUCAAGCAACAGAACAGAUAAAGCAGUAUGAGGACGUGAGAAAGGAAAGUUCAUUUCUUCAUGAUUAGCUUGCGUCCUAUCAGGCAUACUCAGGUCUCUGGCAAAUUCUUCAGACGAUUAUGUACGUCUGGAGACCUGACCCUGCAGAAGAGAUUAGUUCUUUUUCUUCACCACCCACAUCUGAAGGGGUGGCAAAGAGUUCAUCACUCUGCGAGCUCCAUACGAGAAGGAUGGCAUAGAAGCCAGUCCAUUUCGUUUCACAUAAGAGGGGUUAGAGUAAGCAUAAGAGUAAGCAGAGAAAUUCUUCGAGGACUUAUGGACAUAAUGAUUUGAAGAAUAAUGCACAUAUCCAUAAUCCUUAGAUCUUCCCUGCGAAAUAGACGGGUUAGCACGAUGAUGUUCAUAUGAGGACUUUGAUCCUUUUGAGGAAUAUGAUCCAUGUGAAGAGUUUGGUCCGUAUGAGGACUUGGAUCCAUAUGAAGAAUUUGAUCUGGGGUUCCUAUUCUUCACAGGUGGCAUCAUGAUGACAUUCACCUGAAGAUUUUCAAGGCAUCUUUUGGGAACCCAGAUUUUCUUCAUAGGGGAACCGUUCCUGCAGUUAGUGCCAACAUAUCUAGCAAAUACUUCAUCAUUCUGAUUUUUGAACAGUUUAUAGUUGGAGUCAAAUGACUCAUCAUCAGAACGAGGAGAUUCACAUGCAAAUCCAGAUAAGUUAGAUGGAUCAACUGGAGGUCCCUUUGCAGCAACCCAUGUAGUUUUGGGGUACUGCUCAGGCUUCCAAUAUGUACCAUCAGCAUUGAGUUUCCUCUCAAAAGCAAUACCCUCUUUCCUAGGGUUCCUGUUGAGGAUCUGCUUUUUAAGCACAUCACAAAGAGUCUGAUGCCCUUUGAGGCUUUUGUACAUGCCUGUCAUGUACAAUUUCUUCAGCCCUGCAUUGUCAGUGAUACUAGCAAUGUCCUCAGAUGAGGAAUUAGUGAUAGCAGAGGCAUGUGAAGAAUUUGAAACAUUAGCAGCAUUUGAACAUUCAGGUGAAGAAUUAGCAGAUUCACGUUCAAUGCACUUCAAGCAUGGAGGAACAAAUUCUUCCUGAGAAGCGUUGAUUUGUUGAGCAAAUAAUGAAUCGUGCUCCUUCUGAAGGUCUUCAUAACUCACUCUUAGCUUCUCAAGAUCCUGCUUUCUUUGAAGAAAUUUAUAAGAAAGCUUCUGAUGAUCGGAUAAGAGAGUGUUAUGAUGAUCUUGAAGGGUGUCAUACUUGGUAUGAAGUAUGUGAAGACUUUCAGCCAAAGCUUUUGACUGAUCCAUUUCUUCACCCAACAUAUCAUCGCUCUUAUUUAGCAUGUAAUGAACUAUUUCCAAAGCUCUUUCUUGUUUAGUGGCAAGGGAAGCAAGUUUGACAUAGCUGGGUCCAAAUUCAUCACCAGAUUCAUCAUCACUAGACUCGGGUAGGUAGCAUUCAGUUACCUUAGCAUCUUUUGCCAUAAGGCAUGAUGCAGAAGAUGAUGAUUCUGGUUCGAAUGUCAUCACUUUGAGAGAUUCCUUAAAGUCCUCAAACCAAGGAUCAUGACAGGUUCGAUGACCUUCAUAGACCUCAGAGAGACGGUCCCAGAUAAGCUUCGCAUGAUCGAGAUGCAUGAUAUUCCUGAACUGAUUUUGAGACAGACAGGAGCAGAUGACGUCCUUCGCCGUGAGGUUGAGAAGAGUGUACUUGAGAAUGUCAUUUGCUUCCCCCAUAUUGCACAGAUCGGUCAGACAAAUCUCAGUGACGGUCCACAGCUCGUUGUUCAUUGCCAUGAGGCGCUUCUUCAUCAUGGCCUUCCAUUUGGGAUACCCAUGACCGUCAAAAAUGGAGCAUGUCACUUUCUUCAUACCUGCGGUCGACAUAACUAAAACUCCAGGCGGUUAAACCAAAAUCACACAGAACAAGGGAGCACCUCGCUCUGAUACCAAUUGAAAGUGCGUUAUAUCGACUAGAGGGGGGUGAAUAGGCGAUUUUUAUGAAAUUCUUCACUGAGGAAUUUGCCGGUGAGGAAAUUCCUUAGCGAAGAACUACUAGCAGCGGAAUAAGUACUCAAAAGUAAACAUAACAGAAUACAAGCAUAGUCAUCAUGAUGAAAUGAAGACAAACACAGAGUACAGGAAGCAUAAGCACAGGAUAACACAGGAUGAAGACAAACAGACUGAAGAAAUUGAACUAAGGAAAUUGAGAAAGUCUUCAGUCAAAGUCUUCAAACACAUAUAUGAACAAACACACAACACAGUUAUGAGGAAAUGAAAGAGUUGAGGGAAUAGAACCAGUAAGCUUGGUGAAAACAAUGAUUUGGUAGACCAGUUCCAACUGCUGUCUCAGUUGUACGUCUGGUUGGAGCGGUUGAGUAUUUAAACUCGAGGACACACAGUCCUGGACACCCAGUCCUGAACACGCAGCUCAGGACACCCAGUCUUCGCCGUAUUUUCUUUGAACUAAGGUCACACAGACCUCGUCCAAUCACUCGUGGUAAGUCUUCAGGUGACUUCCGAACCUUCACAGACUUGGUCACUCGGUGAUCCACAAUUCCUCUUGGAUGCUCUAGACCAUGACGCCUAACCGUCUGGAAGAAGCACAGUCUUCAAAGGUAACAAGCGUCGGAUCCACGCAGGAUCAAUCUCUUCAGUGAUGCUCAAUCACUUGGGGUUUGUAGGUGUUUGGGUUUGGAUUUUUCCUCACUUGAUGAUUUUCUCUCAAAGUCCUCGGAGGAUGGGUUGCUCUCAAAUGGCAAGUGUCAGUUUCUCUCGGAGCAGCCAACCAGCUAGUGGUUGUAGGGGGCGGCUAUUUAUAGCCUAGGAAGCAGCCCGACAUGAUAAGACAUAAAUGCCCUUCAAUGAUAUGACCGUUAGGUGGAUAGAUAUUUUGGGACAGCUGGCGCAUAGCACGGCAACGGUCGGAAUUUUGAGUAGCAAAAUCCUCAGGGCUAUCAUGUUCCUCACUGUGUAGACAAUCCACACUGGCGAAUUUCUAACUCCUCAGUCAGAACAAAUUCCUCAGAGACCAGAAGAACUUCGUCUCUGUCACUGAAGAAUAUGACUGGACUGUAUGAGAUUUCCAAUGGCUUCACUCGAAGGGAUUGGUAGGUGUAGGAUUUUGAGUUGAGCAUCACAUGGAAAUUUUUCCUUAGUAUUUCCUCGACCCCCUUUAACAGUACGGUGUUUCCUAUGACUCAAGAAAGAGAAAAUGAAACUACGAAAACAAAAGUCUUCACGCUUCAUGUUCCUCGAAUGAAUAUCAAGUCUUCAAGGUCACACCAAUUUCUUCACUUUCAAAGUCUUCAAAAAGCCAAAGUCUUCAGUCGAAGAACUUUAUUUUUAGGGGUCGGCUUUCUCUGUAAAUAUCAAACUCCUCAUAGACUUAUAGACCUGUGUACACUCACAAAUGCAUUAGUCCCUUAACCUAUAAGUCUUCAAUACACCAAAAUCACUAAGGGGCACUAGAUGCACUUACAGAUCUGCUCUUCGCCGGAGUUGUCCGACCCGUCGCUCCCUCUGAAGCCGCUUCCUUAAGAUGCGGGUGCGGAUUGCUUCCUCCUCUCAAGCAGUGUGUGCCGCCGCAUCUAUCGUCGUCAUGUCGGUAGCAAGGCGGGCCUCGGCCACUCUCAUCCUUUCCUUCCCACGCGCGGGCACACCGGCCCCGCUAGCACUCGUACUCCAGCGGACCGGUGAUGGGGAAAGGGAGAUUGGAAGGCUCCCGGGAGGAUCCGAGCGCCCGAUGUGCCGACGCAAUGGUCUCGCGCCGGACAGAUCCCACCGUCGGUUGGGUCCGGUCCUCCCGGGAGUGACGGAGGGCAAUGCGGACGGCCAUAGUCUCCUCCAGCCCGCACGAGACGACACCCCAGUCGGCGGAUCUGGACUGGUUGGAGUCAGAUUCGCAGCCUGCCAUGGUGGGGAAGGCUGGAGAUCGCCGGACGGAAGCUUUGGGGCGGAGUGGAGUGAAGUGGACUGAAGUGAAGUGGCUAGGGUUUUUUUUCCAUGGAGCGGAUGGGGACGGAUAUAUGUGGGGUCAGAUGGACCAGCAUGGAUCAGGUCGACGUGGCGGACGCGCCUGGCGCCCCCGGGCCACCCCAUAUCCGCCCCAGAUUUGGGUUGGAUACGAGGGGUGUCCGUUAGCUCGAGCGUUUGAGGCCGGUUUGAGGCGCCCGUCUGGAUCGCUUUUUUUUACUGGGCUGUCCGUCCGGACCACCCCAUAUCCACCCUAGCUUUGAGCUGGACAUGAGGGGUGUCAGUCAGCCCGGACGUUUGAGGCCGGUUUGAGGAGCUCAUCUGGAUUGCUUUUCUUUUGACCGGUCAUUGACUAGGCCGUCCGCCCAAACCACCCCAUAUCCAUUCUAAAGUUGGGUUGGAUAUGAGGGGUGCCGGCCAGCCUGGACGUUUGAGAUUGGUCNNNNNNNNNNNNNNNNNNNNNNNNNNNNNNNNNNNNNNNNNNNNNNNNNNNNNNNNNNNNNNNNNNNNNNNNNNNNNNNNNNNNNNNNNNNNNNNNNNNNNNNNNNNNNNNNNNNNNNNNNNNNNNNNNNNNNNNNNNNNNNNNNNNNNNNNNNNNNNNNNNNNNNNNNNNNNNNNNNNNNNNNNNNNNNNNNNNNNNNNNNNNNNNNNNNNNNNNNNNNNNNNNNNNNNNNNNNNNNNNNNNNNNNNNNNNNNNNNNNNNNNNNNNNNNNNNNNNNNNNNNNNNNNNNNNNNNNNNNNNNNNNNNNNNNNNNNNNUGAGAUUGGUCUGAGGAGCCUGUCUGGAUCGUUUUUUUUUUUUUUGACCGGGCCAUCCGUCCGAACCACCCCAUAUCUGCCCCAGAUUUGGGCUGGAUAGAAGGGAUGCCGGUGAGCGUCGGCGUUUGAGGCCAGUUUGAGACGUCUGUCUGGAUUGGGUUUUUUUUACCGGUCAGUGACCAGGCGGUAGACCGAGGUGUUGAGGCGCCCGGCUCUAUAUGCUCUUAGUAUACGUGUUUUCUUUCUCCCCACAUAACACUUCAGAUUCUUUAACGAGCUAAGUGGUGCUUACUGGCCGUGAAUUCUGCACUGUCUAGCCUAAAAUGACAUAAAUUGACUUUUUUUUCAUAUGGCUCAACGGCAAUUGAACCAGGUGCCCCGCUUCAGCAACCGUGGAAACGCAGGCAGCCAGGAUGUCCGCAGCCACGCCUUCCACAUGAUGCAAGUGUUUGUAUCGUUUCCUAUUUCCAAUAGCUUGGGGAAGGGGAAUAUUACUGUCUAAACCAUUUUUUGCCUUCCCUAACAUACAAGAAAAUUUGGUCAUCAAGAGACCAUGGAAUGCCCCUUGCACAGCAUUUCCAGUUGAUCACGUUGUUUCGGGAUGGAAAACAUACUUUGCACAUGAAAUCAACACAAGAGAUAGCAAUUCAGAAGACACGGUGACAAACUAUGCCAAGACAAGUCAAUACUACAAUGUAUCAAGUCUGUCGGAGUGGCGAGUACAGAGUACAGAGCGGACAUAGUAAAGCCAUGAUGGGCAAACAAACAGCGCCACGGACAAUUUAACACCCACGAAAACAAUCUGAUAGCUAGCUCUUUGACAGAGAGCUUUAUCUUUCCAAAACACCCACAUUAUCUGUCAAGACUAUAUAGUUUAUAAUACGUAAAGGCAGUAUUAGUCCGAAUAUCCAGCUUAUCCAGAUCCAUAGAAGCCCCUGCCGAGAUGCUUCAAGCCUAUAUAUCAGGAAAUUACACACAGGCGGUUAGUUGCAGAAACCAAUCCAAAAAGACACCAAAGAGAGUAAACACGGAG